CGGCAUAUAACACAUGUCGAUUCUCGUUAAUCUCGACGAACGUACGUGGAGCGCUAAUAAAGUGGGAUUUCAGCAGCAGGCAGGACAGUUCCUCCACAUGACAUGGAGCAAACUUGUACUGUACUACGUAGUAUAUUUGCAAGGAAGGAACUCAUUGACUGUCGCUUUAACAAAACCUGGAAUAAAACUGGACUACUACCUGCGCCGUUCCAGAGAAAACAAAGGUGCUUUCUCCGGCCGGCCGCCGGCGGUUGGUCACGAAGAAUUCUCCACGCACACGGGGAGCUUAACUGGAAUCAUUCGCGGGUUUCACUGUAUAUAUACCGAGCGAGAGCGCGCCUCUCUGCCUUAUCAGCUCCAGAGCAAGUCAUCAUUUGCCAUUUGCAAGGCAGGCCGCGUAGAUAUUAGCCAGCCAUUUCUCCAACACGAGCUCCACUUCUUCCUUGGCAUCUGCUUCCCCGAGCAGAGCACUUGCAGAAGCAAAGCAGCGUCGUCCUACAGUUCCAUCAUUCAUGGUUUCUCCUUCUUCUAAUCGUACCAGCCGUAACAAGAGGGGCGCGUGGGCGUUCCUCGCCGUGCUGCUGCUGCUGCUGGUCCUGCUCCGCUGCUCGCCGUGCCAAGCGCGCAAGCUGCCGGUGGCAGAUCAGGGCCAGGGCGGCAAGGUGAUGCACUUCGAGGGCGGCCUGGUGCUCAAACUGUCGCCGAGCCCCCAUGGCGGCAACGACGAUGGCGGCGAGGUGGCGGCGGCGGCGCCGAGGGGGUUCUCGAGGGCCGCGCGGUCCAUGCGGUCCGUGCCCAGCCCCGGCGUCGGGCAUUAGGCAGGUCGGUGGUUCCAUGGUUUUUUUCCGCCGGAGAAGUUUUGCAUCUUUAAUGCAGGGAUCGGAGGAGCUCUGCUUGUGCGUCGUCGUCGCUUUGUUCCUCGGCUUGAGUAUAUUGCGUGAGUGAAUGAACGGUCCUUGAUUUGGGAGGGCCGGGUGUGCUUGUGUGUGAGUGUGAACCGCCUGAAUAUGGUGUGAGAAGUUGCAUGCGUGAUGCAUCCUGAAUUUUAAUUUUAACGAGGUUGAUUGAUUGAAGAAAAUUUCAGUGUCGAUGAUGUCGCGGUUCCCCUGUCACUCACGUCGGCUGCAUGAGCCAAGUGUCCCGUGGCAUUCCGUUGCACACUCUACUUUUUUUUUAAAGCGUAUAUUAAUAUCACAGCGAUACCAAUUACGCUGAGCCUCUGCACCAACAAAAUGUCACAAACGACAUUCAGGAUGCACACAUCCUGAAAGAAAAAAGGAAGAAGAAAAGGAAAAAAAAGGCCCCGCACGGUAAUCAACUCCUCGCAGCAGCAACCCGACAAAACUACCGCCAAAGACGACACCCGGAUUACAAAAAGGUUCUCCAAAGGCCACGCCUCCAAGGAGGGAAACAGUGCACAAGCGCCAUCGUCGCCCGAAUGAAGAUUUUAGGUUUUCACUCUGAAGAAAGUAUGAGCCCUUAAAACAAUUCCUUCAACAAGGCCAUUGCCAGACACAACCAAUGAAGGUCAGGCCUUAGGUUUUCACCCUGAAAGUCAACACUCGGCACUUGAGGAGCGCCACCAAACUUGAAUUCCUUCAAUGUUGUCGCCCCCACUUGCCAAGGCUGCUACUGCAAAUCAUCAAACACCAGGCACACAGUUACCAAAUCCAAAUUGGAUCACCGGCCCUCGUGAAGCAAAAUCUUCAGCACCUCGGAGGUCUCUGCCAACACUGGUCCUCCAAUCUCAGCUACCUUGACCUUCUCCACCGCAGUAUAGACCAUGGAAAUCGAGAUGCCGACAUGUCCCAUAGUUUCGACAACCAGCGGAGCUUCGCGCCGCACCGUCAUGAAGCCAUGCUGGCGGAUAUGUGUGCGCAGGACCGGAUUCCAUCCUGUCCAGAUAUCCAGGAGCUUCAUAAGCCAAACCGAGAAGAUCUCUGGCAGAAGAUCCGGAACACAUCUGACGGCCAGAUCGAAGAGGAGCAAACACGUUGAACGUUGCCAUGAUGCGAGAAGAAUGCUAGGACCACCACCAUGAAGACUCGCAAGCCCCCACACCGCGAGUGACGACCCAGCAUGAAUGGCAGAAGAGGAGACGGCAGCCCAGCUAGCAACUGCAUGUCCUCGCGGGCGUGGCCAAGACCACAACAUGCUUACCCCGCAGCACAAGCCUUGACUGGAUCCCCAUGGCCAAGAUCGGAUCCAUAGCCUAGAUCGAGACCCGGCGAUCCAGCUCGCACACCGAAGACAGCCGCACCUUCCCUUGACGCCACUCCGCCUGGAUCCUCAGGCACCGGCCAAGACGGCCGCGCCGCGCCCAUGCCCUGAAACAACGCCCCACCCCCUCCCGUGUGACGCUGCCAAGGAAACACCUCCCCUGCCCACCGUCUUCGGUGGAAUGGGCGCCGCCACCGCCGCCGGCGUCGGCAGCAGCGACGGCAGGGGACGCAUAUUGUAGGAGACCCUAGAGAGAUCGGUGGGGAUGGCCUCCGGAGCCGCCCGGGAGGGGAGCGACUCGACCUGUUUCUGAACAGUACGCCGUUGCACACUCUACUGCUUUGUCGUCUUCCCAAUGAUGUUUUUUUUCUUGUUGUUGUUUGCGAAUUUCUCCAUGACGUUUUCGACCAGUACACGUGCUCGAUCAAUCUCGCCAUCUCGGCAUGACUACAGUGAGCAUCACUCACAAUUUGCAAAUUGACUCCAUCGCGUUGUACGGGUGUUACUUUAGAAGAAAAAAAAGACUCUUCCUUUUUUUUCGCCGGAAGAGAAGAAUUGUCUUGUUCGGAGACCGGAGUAGCCGUGAAGACAAAAUGACGCACACAUGCAAGGACCAAUAAUGAUAGACCUACAAAAAUGGUGCACACAUUAGCUUCUUUGUAAAAAGGAAAUUAAAUUAAAUAAUCUUUUGUAGAUGUAGGAUUACUCUGCAAGGACUGCUGCAGGCCAGUCUCGCCUGAGGUUAAUCACAAAAGGAGUGACAACUUUCCUCAUGUUUGGCAGGACAUUUUGAGGACAGGAAGUUUUGGUCUAUAGGUGUAUAAUACACCCUAUAUGGAAAAUUAUAUUUAGUAAUUAAACAUUCAACAAAUUCUGAAAAUAUUUUUGAAAUAAAUUUGGUGUUCCAUUGUACUGGUAGAAAAAAUUCACAAAAAGUAAAAAUCUGGUUAACCUCUUUCCAAAAAGACAAAAAAUUCGGUUAAAAUAGUGUGAAUAGUGACCUAUAGUACCAAAGAAUUUUUUUUUCCUGAAGUCAACGUUGGGUUUCUAUCUUGAAAUUUAUAUACUAGUGCAAAAGAAAGUCAAGUUUAUUGUAAAAAAUUCAAACUUUUUUGAAUUUUUUAAUUAUCAAUUUUCUUUCCAUAUGAGGUACACCUAAGAACCAAAGGGUAUUUCCUGACAUUUUGAGAAGUAUACUACAUACACACUCACACAUGCAUGCGACCAAAAGGAGGAGUAUUUUCUUUCAAAAAGAAAGGAGGAGUAUUAAGUAGUCCAUCCGUUUCUAAGUAUAAAUCUUUUUGGAGAUUUCAAUAUGAACUACAUACGGAGGGAGUAUCACAUAAUAUGUGUUUGUUUCAAAUAAAUGACAUUAUAUGCUUACUGAUAUAUGCUACCAUUCCAUCACUAAAAUAUUUACUUAGAAACUAAGCAAUGAUGGUUGCAAAAAAAGAAAUCAAUGUCUGCUAUUUUUUAGAAAAAAAUUACUAUUCAUGGCAGGAGCAUUUGAGCUCAGGAUUAGAAUGUCACAUUUUGACUGACAUCCUUGUCGAUCCGCCAGACUGUCCAGUCUGGCCCAGCCGAACAUGUCCGACUGCAAUCAUACUCCUCCCUACGCCAUAUCUGCCUCGCACUUUCAUGCAUUGCUUAGACGCCCUAUGUAUGGAUGAUCUUGCACGAACACACCGUCCUCAGAGCAGUAGAUUACAUAUUCUCUUCAUAUGAUAGAGUUGGCACUUGGCAGACCGACAGUGCUCCUGACUUUUGCUUGGAUUUUUUUUCUAACCUGCUGCCAAAUGUAGCUCUCUCGAAACGUUUGGCGCACAUACUAAUCACUUAGAGGCUUGGAGCCGAUUGAAAAAGCAAUACAAACAGGUCAGUCAGGUCAGCUGGUUGACCCUUGAUUUUGUAUACGCAUUAUUACUCCUAAUCCAAUCCGUAAGCCGAUCUGUUGUAAAUUACUUUUCUAAAUGAGAAGCGGCCGCUGACUUUCAUUUCGUGAGGGAAAAAACAGGACUCCACUACAAAUCAGAUGUUAGAUUUUUGACCAUGGUAGAUCGAACAUUUUUCAUGACAAAUUAUGUUUUCUAAGAAUGGCAAGUUUAGUUGGCAAGCAUGACAAAUCUGUCUUAUUUUAUUAUUUAUGUCAGAAAAUUAUCAUGCCUGCAAACUGAAUUUGCCAUGAUCGCGCCAAUACAAACUGCCAUGAAAAACAUCAGAUUUGCCAUGCUCUAAAAUUCUAACGUCGGAUUUUUAAUGUUUCCGGAAAAAACAACAUGCGGAACUAGAAUUAACUUGGCCGGCAAUCCGUCAGGAAGAAUUCUCCAUGGCUGCUCAAAAGAAAAGAAAAAUAAUUCUCUGCGGGCAAAUGGGAAUCGUCCACGUAAGCGGUGGCGCUGUAUAUAUAGAGCGGGAGACGCCUACCUCUGCCCUACCACCAGCUCGAGCAUUUGCCAAAGCAGGUUGCCAGCCAAGCACCAGCUCCAAUUCUUCUUCCCUGAGUUCAUCCCGUUCUCCCAGAGCACCCACAGCCACAGGAGCAGAUAGUCGAGUAGCAUGGCUUCGCCGACGCGCAGCAGCAGUAGCACCAGGAGGCUCGCGCGGGCGUUGUUCCUCUUCCUCGCCGUGCUGCUGCUGCUGGUGCUGCUCCGAUGCUCGCCGUGCGAAGGGCGCAACCUGCCGACGGCGGGGGAGGAACGGGGCGGCAGGGCCGCCGUGAUCCACCUCCAAGGCGGCGAGGCAGCGGCGGCGAGGGGGUUCUCGAGGGCCGCGAGGUCCAUGGGGUCCGUGCCGAGCCCCGGCGCCGGGCACUAGCCAAGUAGCCAUGGUUCUUCUACCCCGGAGAAGUUCCCAUUUUGCAGCGCCGCGUUUUUGUCUGCUCCUCGACCUGAUGGGCUUCUCGCUUUCAUAUGCGGCGUACGAAAUGAUGGUGACGGUUUGUCAUUGUGUAUCUCAUUGUGUAUCUGAGACUCUGAGUACGUACAGCCGGCUGAAAAUAAUGUAAACAGCUGGAACCUUAAUCGAUGCGCUUGGAAAAGAACUCCAGUGUCGUAUUAUCUCUCCUGUCACGUCAGUGUCAGCUGCAUGCAGCUGCAUUGCACACCGCUACUUGUCGUCUCAUCACCAGGGCCUCUGGGGCGUGCGUGCAUGGCUGUGGUGGUCUCAAGUCUCAGCAACAAACUCAUCUGAUGAUUUCUGUUAAGAGCACGUUCAUAUUGGGUUUCCUAGUACGAAAUUUUGGUUCAACAACAAACUGGUCUAGUAAUAAUUUCUUUUAAGAUUACUUUCAUACUGGGUUUCAAAAGAAAUUAUGUCCCAAACUGCAAUGCGUCGGUACAAUGCCAGACAGAGAUUCUUUUGCCAGAAUCUGGGGAUUCUCCCAGAAUCCGACCCCUACCCAGCUUCUCCCAGGAUCUUUGAGCCCCAUUUGUUUUGCAAUCCUAUCUAGUUAGGGUCUGAUUAUAUAGGAUUGUAAAACAAAUGAGACUCAAAGAUUCUGGGAGAAGCCGGAUAUGGGUCGGAUUGUGGGAGAAUCCUGACAAAAGAACUGGGCUUCAGAACACUUCCACCUAUACAUAGAUGCUUCACAUAUCACAGGAUGAGAAGCUACCUCCAGAAUAAAGUGGGUACCCGCAAGUGUACACCUUUAUACUACAUGAACAUCCUACAAUAUCUACGUACAUCGUAUACUACCGUACUUACUAUCUAUAUGUACAGACGGGCAACGGGCGGCGUCAGAACUCGAGGCCUCCGUUGAGUUGAACAGAUAAAGAUGGAGAUCCCACGUUGUCGAGGGGUUUCUCCAUGGUGACUACUACCCCAGAACUGCCGACUUCACCGUUCAACUUGGACCGCCCAAUCUGCCAUACCACACCAUAAUUGCAAGGGCAUCAGUUCGGGCUUUGCAGUAAACGCGCUUCGAUAAGGAAGAAACGCUGGCGUAAUGAGAACUAAUUGAGGGCUUACAGAAAGAGAUGUGAAAGCCGAAGGAUGUCUCGAGCAUGAGAAGCCGCAUGACACACCGAUUUCUUCCUUCAGUGAAUGGACAAUCUCCGCCCGUAUGCCCGGAUCACUUCCUCCGAGAAUGGGGCAAACACUGGUGCAGGUGGUUCCAUGGAUGUGAGUAUUCAUAGGUUGGGAGAAGAUUGUGCAAACAAGAAAGAACUUGAAAUGCAGGAUAUCAACAUAAGUGCUGGUAGGGAAGAAGCUGAAGUACUGACCAGCUACCAUUGUUUUCUUUUGUUGGCAGAAACAGAAAACGACAAGCAACAUGGACUGCCAUAUGUCAACCCUCCGUUCCAAAAUAGAUGACCCAACUUUGUACAAAGUUAGUACAAAAUUGGGUCAUCUAUUUUGGAACGGAGGGAGUAAUAUGCAAGUACGGAAUACUUAGUGAAGCAUGGAGCAGAUCCGAAUUGUCAUAUUUGAACAGUGUUUCAUCAAUGACGUUUGCUCAUCUGGCAUUAACUACGGUAAACAUCCCACACAAUGGCUGUUGCCAUUUAUAAAUGACCAACCCAGAUAAUCUAUUUACCAGCACUUUUGAUAUCAUAUCAGUAAGGACACCGACCCAACAAAUACUACACAAUGAAUAUUAUGAAUUGUGGCUAACAGCAGUCCAGCUUUUUACCGAGUUAAGACCAACCCUCCUUUUUACUGAGUUGAGAAACCAGUUACGGCUAUGAGCAAGUGUGUACAGUAAACUACCUGACUUGGGUGCUGGGUCUCAUCAUAAGGCCAGACUUUUUCCAUGCCACCGCGUGGGCAACUCCAAAUGACAGAGAAUUGUCAGGCCAUUGAUAAGUAGGGGUAAACCAUGUGCCUUGUGUGCUCUUCAAUGGAAGAAGAAUAGCGAAUAAAAGGACAAGUAAAAGAAUUAGGAACACGCCGCAAGAAGAUAGAGUAAUGUAAAAUUUGAAACAAAUCAUAAAAUAGCAUGUGGAAUGCAUGUUAUUGCUGUUUCAUAAUAGCAUAGUUCUUGACAAUCUGCACAGCUGAAACUGUUUCUUUAAGAAUUUACAAACAUAAGCAAAAUUUGUGCAGAUACACUAGCAUUGACUAACCUUGAAGGAGAAGCCCAGUUUGGUUUCUCCGGGAAAUUUCCCAUUGGCUUGAAGCAAUCCACCAAAUAAUGGGAGAAAUCCACUUGCUGUUAUCCCCUCACCAGCAACGUAUCUCAAUUGCCCAUUUGAAAAUUCAACAUCCAUGAAGGCCUGCAACAAAAAACAACCAAGGGAAGAUGAUAAGAUAGUACUGUAGCAGGUAUUAGAUACACAAACAGUCACGCCAGAAAAAUUGAUCCAUUCCUUUUAGGUUUACAUGUUUCCAACAAAUUAGGAAGUUAGAUGAUUGCACUUAGCAUGGACAAGUUCCGUUGUUUUUUGGUUUCUUUAUAAAACUCACACCAAGUUAAUGGCAAGGCCUGUUGCAACAACAAAAACAAUACUCCCUACAUCCCCAUUGAUGAAACUGUGUUCAAAUAUGGCAAAAACAAAAGUACCUGCAAUCUGAGUUUGUGGCCUUGUAUAAGGGAAUGGAGGGAGUACUAACCUUCAUAGGCACAUGCAUCACAUGAUGGCAAAAUAAAAAGGGCAAGCAAGCUAAACUUUUUUGUGCCGCUAACCCAACUAUCCGGACUGAUGAUUCGCAAACACUGGUCAAUGAAACUGGAAUACAACUGACACUGGGUAGAUACUUAGAAACAACACAUAAAUAUUAACCAAGAGCAGACGGCAAAAGAGCAAGGUAAGGGCAAAGAAUAUAUAUAUAUAUAUAUAUAUAUAUAUAUAUAUAUAUAUACUUACACAGGCUACUGGGUUGAGGCACAUCAUGGACAUCAGCAACCAUUUUUUCUGCUUUGACCAGACAACUGGACAUAAGGAAUGCACUCCAUUCUACAAGAAAUGAAUAAGUUUUUAGUACAUGCAUAUAGUAAAAUAUAGGUCAAUACAUGCACACAAAGAGCUUGAAUGGGCACAAUUCCAGAAGAUGGUGAUAGCUAUAGCAAGUACUUAAUGCAGUAGAAAAUUUAGCAGAAAUAAGUAUGCAAAAUACAUGCUUACAAAUAUGGAGAAUAUUUCUAAUGCAUAAAUUAACAAUGACUCUGCUAGAGUUGAACUCAGCAUCUAAAUCACUUUGGAUACAGAAAUAUGGUCAUGCACUUUAGAACCAACAUUUUCACAUCACAAGAUAAUACAACAGGACUUUAGAAAGCUAGGAGAGGGCAUUACAAUUGCAAGCUUCCACAGAACAGUCCUAAAUCAGACUAGCUAACAGAACAAAAUCACCUAGAAUUGAUACAGAGCAAGACGAGCAUUCCCUAAUCAUAUACUCCCUCCGUCCGGAAAUACUUGUCAACGAAAUGAACAAAAGAGGAUGUAUCUAGACGUAUAUUAGUUCUAGAUACAUCCCUUUUUAUUCAUUUUGAUGACAAGUAUUUUCGGACGGAGGGAGUACAUUACUUGAUGAUUACAUGAACAAUCAACUAGAAGAAAAAACUGGUUUCAGUUUCAACUAGAUGCUAUGCUAUGCAUAAUAUUUGCACUCUUGUAGUAUAUUUCACAUUUAACCAAUAUACACAGCAAUGUAUAUAAAGCUUUAGAGAUUAUCAUUCAUAAGAAAAGGCAAACAAUACACUGUUCUUGUCAAUUAUCUGAAGGAUAAAAUGAAUAAAAACUAAUGAACAUGCGCAGAUUCAUAUAUCAAGAAUAAGAGAAGUACCUUGUGAUCAUAAGCAUACCAAAUGAGGUGUUGCUUUGACAGAUUAAUAGGCAAAAGAAGUGUUGUAGAGUCUCUCACAAAAAGUAAGGGACCCAAUUGAAUAAGGAAACCAGGUGCAUUAUCGUUUCCAUUAGUUGAACCACCCCGUGAUGAUUCUAACCUCCAAAAAUCUCCACGUGCAAGAACAGAACUAUCAACAGUGUGGUGCCUUGUAUUGUACAUUGCCGAGACAUUUACAGUCCCCUGCAUCAUCAUCAUUACAGGUGUUAUGAUGUGUACUUGAGCAUAUUGAAUGUGUUUCAGCAUCGCAGACCCAGUAUAAUUACACUCUAAGCCUGUACAAAAACCCAUCAUAAAUCUGCAGAAAAAAGGAAGGGUAUAACCUUUGGUAUACGAAAAGGAUAUCUCAAUAUCUGAAGUACAUGUACUACUAAAUGACAAACAUAUAGCCACAAUCUGCCUAUCACACAAACAGUAUAUAAAAAAAAAGGGCAGCCCAGUGCAUGUAGCUCCCGCUUGCGCAGGGUCCGGGGAAGGGUCCGACCACUUUGGGUCUAUAGUACGCAGCCUUUCCCUACAUUUCUGUAAGAGGCUUUACCACUGCGCCAAGGCUCCCCUUCACACAAACAGUAUAUCAUAUUGAAAUUUAAGAUGAGUGUUAGCUUUUAGCCCCAGCAGUCAAUCACACAAGCAAAUAAAAGAUACACGCAAUUGGGAUAUUUCGCCAAGUCAUCUCAUGUACAUCCGUUUUUUUUUUCUUUGUUUACUUCUCAGAAUUCUUACACAAGAUUAUAACCUGCAUGUGUAUAUGUACACAACACAGGCUCACCUUGUCCAAGUCGUACAUGUCAACUAACAUGUGGCUAGGUAGGACCAAAGCAGACACUACUAAGUCUUGACUAUUCCAACAAUCUCCCCCUAAUUAAUAGUUAGCGUGGCAGAAUCAAUCAAGCAAACAAAUCACGCAUACACAAGAUAGGCAUAUUUCACCAAAGACACCUCAGGUGCCUCUUUUUUUUCUUGUUUCUUUCGCAAAAGAGUACACAACAUUACAACCUGCAUGUGUAUGUAACUAUGUAUGCACAAUGAAGCUACAAGACACACACACUCGUACACUGACUCGCAUUCCUUACACGUCAAUUAGGACAUAGCCAGGUAGAAUUCAGACAACGUCAGAAUCAGAUUCGACCAACACAACUCCUUACCAGAAAUGACUAGGCAUUGUCGCAUUGAUUAUACCAACAAUGAACACAAACUAUUAAAGCAAUGGACAUAGGCACGGCAUAAUCAGACUUGACAAACAUUAUUCCUAACGGGACAGACUUGAUUAUUUCAAACAUUAUCAAUAUGCUCAAGUACACAUCAUAACACCUGUAAAUAAGAUACUUCAUCCACACAUCAUAACAUCUAAUCCACAGUUCUACACCUAAAUCAUCCACACAUCUAAAAAAGGCUAUUUCUCUAAACUGUCGUAUAAAUAAGAUACUUCAUCUAUCUUUUAAUAAGCAUAAUCUAACUGCAAGGGCUUCUAAUUAGAGUCAGGUAGGUGCGUGCGCAGCAGAAAACAUGAUCAAGCAAGAUGCAAAUCCAACAUUGGUACCUGAGGCUUCAUAAAUUUCCCCAGAGUGCCAAUCUCGAACUCGAACCCGAACCCGUCUUCCUCUUCAUCCGACCCAUCCGCACCCUCGGCCCCGGCCCCGACCGCACUGGCGGCAGCGGCACUCCCAGUGGCCGCCGCCACCGCCGCAGCCACCUCCUCAAGGGAGCCUCCUUCCCCGACACCCUCCAGAGCUACCCCGCCCUCGGCAGCCCUCUCCGCAGCGAGCCCCGCCUCCCCCUCGUCCACAGCCGCCGCGGGCGUCGGCGGCGCGGCGGCCCCCUCCCACUUCCGGCGCCGCGCGCGGAACGGCGCGGGAAUCUGCCGCGACAGCUGCUGCACGGCGCCGCCGACGGAGGCGCCGAGGUCGUUCCCGGCCUGGCCGAGCCGGCCGCCGAUCUCGACGAAGGACGCGACGGCCACGGCCGGGAGGUCGACGCCCCCGCGGAGCUCGAUGUCGAAGGGGAUGAGCUUGAGCGGCGGGGCGGGCCAGGGGAGCUGCGGCGGCUGCACGUGGAGUUGGAGGAGGAGCCCCGAGACGCCCUGCGCGAGGCGGUAGGCCAGGUCCUGCCCGUGCCGCUGCACGCCCAGCAGCGCGGCGUCCAGGGAGAUCUCCAUGGAUGGAUGGUGGACGGGGCACCCGGGCGGAGGCGCGCCCCGGCGUAGCGGAUUAGCUCGAGCCGCGGCGAAAUGUGGUGGAGACGAAGCGGUCAGGCCAGUCUGUGGUGGUGGCCCGGCGGGGGGUCGAUGACGAUGAUGCCGGGCUGACUGCUUGUCCGGGACGGGACUCGGUGACGUGCGCUAUCGUGUGGAUAUCCGUUGCCCGUUGGCCUCGCGUGACAGAAGAGCCGCGUACUGCGGUGAAGUACAUCAUCCGUUUGAACGAAUGCACGCAUCACGAGGAUAUGCUGUUUUCAGGGCCGAUUGAUCAUCAAGGGUGCGUUCGUUUGCAAAGUAUUUUUGCAGUUUUUCGACGCCCCGUACCACCGAAAACACCUCUUCCGUUUAAAAAAUCUUUCGCGCUACGCAUUUACUCUGUCUUGAAGGGUCACCCAUCAACCCGCAUUCAUGGCGGUACCGUGGCCGAGUAGCCUACUCUGAUGCCUCACCAAUUCGCCUGCCCAAGACUAUUUAAAAUCGAUCGGCCGCAGACGCUAGCCCUAUCAUCCUCACCUAUCUGUCGCAUAGCACCAUACCUUCACCACCGUCCGUCGCAAUGGGCAAGAAGUCUGACACCCGCAGCAGGUGGACGGCGCGCGGCUCCGAAACCGGGAUAGCCCCAGAUCCAGUUGGCACCGUCGCCCACGGUCUUCGGCUCCUCUCGUCCACAACUUCGUCCAACGUCAAGUCGGAACCGAUCUUGUGAUGACGCGAAGGUGCAGAAGCGGCCCCUGCUCGCCACCGUGGCUGCUAUGGACGAUGAGUUCAAGCGGCAAACGAAGAUCGCGCUCUAGUGGUUGUUAAUCGACCGCAGUCUAACAAUGCCAUCCCCUCCACACAACCGCGACUUCCAAAUUAGAUGCCGUGUAAAGGAGGAGCCGACCUCCCCACCAUGUAGCCACGACAUCCAAUUCGAAUACCGCAUGAAAGAGAAGCAGACCUCCCCGCCUCGUUCGCAACCGAUAGAGUCCAUUCGCCAUUGUGGAGGAGGAGGAGUCCCCCCCCCCAACCGUCCUAGCCACAAUCAUGUGUACAGUACUACCUCCAAGCUAACUGUGUGUCUUCCUCGACACGAACAAAUGCCUCUCCAAGGCGGAGCAUCGAGAGCAAUGCAACACGUAGCACCGGGUGGCAUUCGCGAAGAGCCAAGUCGCGUCGGCCUAGGCCCUCGACCGGUCCAAGACCAUCGCCGAGUCAGGCUCCCGCCAUCAGUGUUGCCUCAACCACCAGCUCCUCCAAGCGGGGCCGAUGAAGCCCAAGUGCACCAAGCGACGAAGGCGGCCAAACGUCUCAAGAGCGAGCGCGCGACAACCGAGCAGGGAUGCCUGGCAAGCAUUCUGCCCCUAGCGCAACCACGACGAGAAAGGUGUCGCAAAUGGCAACUUGAGCAACAGCGCAGACGAUGACAAAGGUGCAAUGGCCUCAAAAGUGACAUGUAUACAAGCUCACGGUCUUGUAUCUAUCCAGUAUCUCACAUAGUUUAGUUUAGAUUAAAUUAAGUUUCAACGGUUAAAUUUCAUCCGUGUGUUUAUAAAUAUAUUGAACUUUGUUCAAUUUUAUUUGUUUUUAUGCUCGCUCCGUUCAAAUAUUUGAACAUUUGGUGUCCAUAGUUGGAUGCCUAGAGCCCCACCUGUGGCAAGUUCAGACGUAUCCACAGAUAUUUGGUGUCGUCUGUUUGGUGAUUCGCAUUGUAGUUGCCUUAAGACAAUACGAAGCAACAAUCUAUGCAACAUGAAAUUCAUUGAAGCGGAGAAACAUCAGGCACAAUCAUUCCAUUACAUGGCAACGUUCGCAGAGCUUCUUAACAUUUAACUUGACGGUGGAGGGAACUUUGUCUGCAACAUAUCUUCCAAUGGCCCAGAGGCCUUUGUGGGCUUGAGCAAUCAUCCGCUUGCCAAUCAGAGGGCUGCACUUGUAACUUUUGUUGACACAAGACCGAUCAGCCUCCUCAAUACCAUUAUCAUAUACCGCGUCCAAAGUGAGACACUCGAGUAAUGUUGCAUUCUCAAGAAUAUGGCAAGUUAGUUCGACCAUGCUCUUUGCUGCACGGAAGCCUAUGAUGGUCACAUCCUUGAUGUUGCCAUGGUGAUGUCCUGGCAUCCGUCUCAACACUGAGUCUUUAGAUAUCAAUUCAUGCUCUACGUUCCUCUGCGAUACCUGUGUGAAGGAGCAACGUGCACCCUAUAGUUACAUGCAGAGAUAGGAUACAGUUGUUGUUGCAAGCUAGAGGGAGAAAAGUGACUUACACCCAAAACAAAAGUCUCCAGGAGAGGACAAGCGUCCAGAAAAUUAACUAGAGAAAAAUAAUCAUAGCCUGGAGAAAAGCCCCCCUGUCCUUCAUGGUCAAAAUCAAUCUCUAAGUUCUUGAGGCAGCGGAAUUUGCCAUGUAAGAUGGGCGUACUGAAGUCCUACAUAUAAUAAUAAGUCUAUGUUAAAUAUAGAAUUGCCUAAAAAAGGUUACACUAUAUUCCAUGGCAUAUAACUACUGCUAUAUGAAUAAUGAUGCUGUCAUUAAUGAUCACUAGCCCCUUAAAAAAAGACAACAACAACAACAGAGCCUUUAGUCCGAAACAAGUUGGGGUAGGCUAGAGCUGAAACCCAUAAGAUCUCGAAACCAGCUCAUGGUUGUUGCACGUGGAUAAAACAACGAAAACAAAAACUUUAGUUUGAGAGGGUGUUUGUUUCCAGGGACUUAUUGAUUUAGGGACUUAAAAAAGUCCCUAUAAGUCCCAUCUAAACCAAACAGGAGGGACUUAUAGGGACUUAAAGUGGGCAUUUGGGACUUAUGAAAUAAGACUCUCAUGGGAAGUUGUGAUACGUUUCGUUGGGUUGUUCCGGCACCAAAAGUAUGACUUCUUCGAUCCCUGGAGUAACUGCAGUUUGAAGCCACAUGUCGAGAUAACUAGAUUUGAGGGAAGAACCACCAUAGUGAAGUUCAAAUUUCUUCACUCCAAUGCCUGGGUGUUUUUUCAUGAUGCGGUCAACUCUCUUGAGCAAAAUCCUUGCAAGUUUAUUGCUUCCAUACACAUUUCCAUCCAGGCCCAGUGUUUCAUUGCUGAAGGUGAGGUCGGGACGGCAUCUCAAGGAGCUUAGUAAUGUGUGAGACACACAGCCAGCUCUGGCAGCGUCUUGCAGUGGCAGCAGUGCCAAUAUAUCAUCCCAGAUGCCCUGCAGACACAAGAAUGGGAGAGAAGUUAGCACUGGAAUUGCAUGGGCUGUGUUACAUAGUUAAAUAGCACAACAGAAUGUGAUUGUGAUAGGUAAAUUAAGCAUUACAUGCACUGUUACAACUUUACAAGGAUGAUAGUACAACGUUUCAGUAUAAGUGGCCUUCCGAGAAGACGUCAAUUAGUAUUCCCUGAUCAGCACUAUUACAAGGAUGGUACAGCCUUUAAGUGAGAUGACAAACCAAUCUAUUCAGAAUGCAGAUAGAUAGCGCAAUGGAAGUAUGAUUAGAAAUGCAGUGGAGCAAUCUCUGGCCUCCAUGUGUUACAGUACAUUUUAUCAAACAUGAUGUCUUUUAUGACUUUUUGGUGGAAACUAGCAGGUGCGCGCGAAACAGGAAUUCGAAAAUCCUACGCUGGAGCGAGAGCUUUGGCUGGCAGCAGCCUAGUACUGUGGCUCUCUUUUUUAACGUGGGCUAGUAUUAUGGUGCAGUUCUUCUCCUGACAGUUAACAAGAUUCCUGUACCAGGUUGCUUUAAUCGGCUCACUUGACAAUGCAUGGCUUGAAUCUCGUUGCAAGAAUCGGAUGGUAUGUCCUUUUUACUCCGCAUAUAAGAGCCCCGGUCCCCUUGUUCUACAGAACUGCUCUCAAGGGGCAAAGCAGAGUCAGGUGCAAAGCAGUAUCCAGGACUUGGUCACAGAGACAGUAUAAGUGUCGAUAUGCGGUCAAUCUCUUGCGAGCAAUCGAUCAGAGGUCGACAAUCUGUUCAGAAGAAGCAACCAAACAGGGAAUGACCUUACCCUCCUCCUUAUAUAAUCUUCAAUACACGGUUCAGGUUCAGUUGGGGGAUUCUGCCAAUAAACUGAACAUCAUAUGCGGAUUUUGCAGAGUAAACACAACUGCCCGUCAUCGACCAGCAGAUGAAGUCAUUGGAAGGUGGCCUUUGCUUAUUAUGGACCUUCUCCUAAAAAAUAAUUAUGGAGGCCUUUCAUCCAAUUCCCAAGAGGGAAAAUAAUUUUGCAGUGCUAACCGAGAGACGCUUUCUCCUCGCAAGAGGGAAAAUAUCGGGUGCGAUGGUGGCUCCCAUGUGUAUCCAUCAGCAGGUCUAGGAGUUUUAUGGCUUUGCUUCUGAGGAAGCUAGAGUUUUACUUAUUUUUCGCACUCAUAGCAGCAUAGUUCGAUCCUAAGAUAUAUUUCCACAACUUGACUGCAGCUAGAUAAGUCGCAACGAUUUGUGAAAGAGAGUAGCCAUGGCCAUUAGAUCAUUUGGUUGGCGUACCUGUGGAAGGUCCGGCACUGGACAUCGCGUUGUUUUGCCACAUUGGGGAUGACAGAUCGAGCGCUUUUUGCCAGACAGAGAAGCAAUCGACAUACCUGGCCAUGAUUGAUAACAUAAGAAAGCAACCAACAAUAGGAAAACAUCGGCUAGUCGCAAAAAAAAAAAAAAGGAAAACAUCGGCUACGAGAUCGGGAAGGAGGGGCAACAUGAUGAUCGAUCCGACUUACGACGGGGUCGGAUUUUCCGGCGGCGGCGAUCCUUCCGCGCGGGCAGGAGCCGGUUGAGCAUCCCCAUGAUGGUACCCUCGAAAUCCUCUGCUCGCCCGCUCUGUAUACUACUCGUAAUUAUUUGACCCAGCAGGCAACGGAGACCACCUCCGCGGCGUCUGAAUCGAGAAGGCUCCAAUUCGAGUUUGAGUUUGAGUUGAAUUGACGCGAGCAGAGGAAACGGCAUCUGCAUCCACGCCGCCUUCUCUGCCUUGUCCUUGAGGCCUGCGUUUACCAGCCCAUCUAAAAUGGCCCAUUAUUACUCAAAAAAGGCCCAUUAGUGACAGGGUUGAUCAGAAUAGUAUAUGCCACAUCCCCUAAAAAAAGAUAGUAUAUGCCACUUCCCCUAAAAAAAGAGAGUAUAUGCCACUGAAAUUCUUGCCGAUUCGAAAAAUCUCACUGCAAUUUUUAUAAAAGCUCUGCGGUGAUAUUUUUCCAAGCUCUAUAGUGAUAUCCAAUGGUUUUUUUUAGAAGCUCUACUGUGCUGAUUUAGAAAAUGAAAAAUGUGGUGACAAUUUUGAAAUAUGCAAGAAUUGCGAUGCCAUUAUUUUAUCUAAUUAACCCUAGUAAAUAAUCCGCGUGUGACAAACUUAUGUCAUAUAUUUUAUUUCUAAAUAGUUGCAAUCCACUGCCUGCCUUUUCUAAUCACACUGCCAUGCUACAUCAGCACCUAUUCUAUUCAUGUCAAUCAUAGGUCACAUAUUUUGCAAUAAUUUACCCAUCUAACCAUGCCACAUUAGGACAUGCAGGCCACUCAUAAGUUAUACUCCUUUCGCCCCGGAUUAGUCGUUUUAAAUUUGUUUAGAUACAGGAUCUAUCUAGACACCUAGACACGUUUUAGUGUUAGGUACAUCUGUAUCUAGACAAAUCUAAGACAACUAAUUUGAGACGAAGGUAAUAUUUUUUUGUCCACUACCAAAUUUUUGUAAGCAUGCAGCUAUGCCACAUCAACAUCUAUGCAUGUCAAUUUACCCAUGCAACUAUGCCACAAUAAUAAGCCAUGCAUGCCACUUACAUUUUUUGAACUGAUUUUCUACUCCUGCUUAUAUGGGAUUAUACACGAUGAGAUUACAAUGUAGGGGUACAUUGAUGUGUUUGACGAGUUGGAUGUUGAUAACCCACAAGUAUAGGGGAUCGUUUGUAGUCUUCUUUGAUAAAUAAGAGUAUCGAACCCAACAAAGAGCUAAAGGAAGAACAAAUAUUCCCUCAAGUUCUAUCGACCACUGAUACAACUCUACGCACACUUGACGUUUGCUUCACCGGAAACAAGUAUGAAACUAUUUUGCAAGAGUAAAACUACGAGUACUUUGCGAGAAUAAAACUGGUAAUUGAUACGUCUCCAACGUAUCUAUAAUUUUUUAUUGUUCCAUGUUGUUAUAUUACCAUUCUUGAAUGUUUUAUAAUCAUUUUAAAGUCAUUUUAUAUCAUUUUUUGGUACUAACCUAUUGACAUAGUGCCAAGUGUCGGUUGUUGUUUGAUGUCUGCUAGAACUACAUCGAUAUUUCCCCAAAGAGGAAGGGACGAUGCAUAUAAAAGUCUCAUGUCAAAACUAGACUAUUGCUUUGAACCAUAUAAAAGUCCAAAUGUCCAUGCUACAAAGAAAAGAAUAUGAAAUGACAUGUUAGGCAGCAUUCCAUAUCAAAAAUUCUGUUUUUAUCAUUUACCUACUCGAGGACGAGCAGGAAUUAAGCUUGGGGAUGUUGAUACGUCUCCAACGUAUCUAUAAUUUUUUAUUGUUCCAUGGUGUUAUAUUACCAUUCUUGGAUGUUUGAUAAUCAUUUUAUAGUCAUUUUAUAUCAUUUUUGUACUAACCUAUUGACAUAGUGCCAAGUGUCAGUUGCUGUUUUCUGCAUGUUUUUUACAUCGCAUGAAAUCAAUACCAAACGGAGUCCAAACGCAGCGAAACUUUUUGUGGAUUUUUUUGGACCAGAAGACAUCCAGUGGGCCGGAGAAGCACCUGGAGGGUGCUCCGAGGGGAGCACAACCCACCAGGGCACCUGGAGGCCCAGGCGUGUCCUGGUGGGUUUGUGCCCACCUCGGGUGCCUCCCGAACCGCCUCUUUGCUCUAUAAAUACCCCAAUAUUUCAGAAACCCUAGGGGAGUCGACAAAAAUCAAUUCCAGCUGCCGCAAGUUCCAGAACCACCAGAUCCAAUCUAGACACCAUCACGGAGGGGUUCAUCAUGUCCGUUGGUGCCUCUACGAUGACCGUGAGUAGUUCUUUGUAGACCUACGGGUCCGUAGUUAGUAGCUAGAUGGCUUCCUCUCUCUCUCUCUUUUGAUUCUCAAUACAAUGGUCUCUUGGAGAUACAUAUGAUGUAACUCUUUUUGCGGUGUGUUUGUUGGGAUGCGAUGAACUUUGAGUUUAUGAUCAGAUCUAUGUUUUUAUCAAUGAAAGUUAUUUGAGUCUUCUUUGAUCUCUUAUAUGCAUGAUUGCUUAUAGCCUCGUACUUCGUCUCUGAUAUUUGGGUUUUGUUUAUCCAACUUGAUCUAUUUAUCUUGCAAUGGGAAGAGGUGCUUUGUAAUGGGUUCGAUCUUACAGUGCUUGAUCCCAAUGACAGAAGGGGAAUCGACAUGUAUGUAUCAUUGCUAUUAAGGAUAACAAGAUGGGGUCUAUUUCUACAUAAAUAGAUCUUGUCUACAUCAUGUCAUCGUUCUUAUUGCAUUACUCCGUUUUUUCAUGAACUUAAUACACUAGAUGCAUGCUGGAUAGCGGUCGAUGUGUGGAGUAAUAGUAGUAGAUGCAGGCAGGAGUCGGUCUACUAAUCUUGGACGUGAUGCCUAUAUAAUGAUCAUUGCCUGGAUAUCAUCAUGAUUAUUUGAAGUUCUAUCAAUUGCCCAACAGUCAUUCGUUUACCCACUGUUUGUUUUUUUUUCUCGAGAGAAGCCACUAGUGAAAUCUACGGCACCCAGGUCUCUUCUUUAUUAUAUUUGCCUUUGCGAUCUAUCUUUAUUUGCUUUUAUUUUCAGAUCUAUUAAACCAAAAAUACAAAUACCUUGUUGCACUUUAUUUUAUUUGGUGUUUGAUCUAUCAAUUUAUUACAACUCUCUCACGUCCUUUUGCCAAUUUUUGGUACCGUUACCGAAAGGGAUUUACAACCCCUUUAAUACGUCGGGUUACGAGUAUUUUUUAUUUGUGUGCAGGUGCUAUUUACGUAGUGUUGCUUGGUUCUCCUACUGUUUCGAUAACCUUGUUCUCAUCACUGAGGGAAAUACCUACCGUCGUUGUGCUGCAUCAUCCCUUCCUCUUUGGGGAAAUACUGACAUAGUUCUAGCAGACAUCAGUAAUAAAAGUGGAUAGCUUUUGUCAAUAAGAAAGUCAUUUGUCCCUAGGCAAUCGAUAACAAGUACAGAUAAUAUUCUUGUAAUUUUAUAUGAGGGAGAGGCAUGAGCUAACAUACUUUAUUACAACUCUCUCACGCCCUUUUGCCAAUUUUUGGUACCGUUACCGAAAGGGAUUUACAACCCCUUUAAUACGUCGGGUUGCGAGUAUUUUUUAUUUAUAUUUUUUAUGCUUGCGGAUACUUAUGAUUGGAACUCUAGCAAGCAUCCGCAACUGCUAAAGAUCAUUAAGGUCGUGAAACCCAACCAUAGCAUUAAGUAUCAAGUCCUCUUUAUCCCAUACGCAACAACCCACCUACUCAGGUUUAAGCUUCUGUCACUCUCGCAACCCACCAUAAGCAAAUCAUGAACGUAUUGCAACACCCUACAGCGGGGAUCCCCCAUGUUUGCGCGAGAUGGAGGGCAUCGUAGGACAACACCAUAAAUAAAAUAUACAAUCAUACCAACCAAGAUCACGAUUAACCCAUAGGACAAAACGGAUCUACUCAAACAUCAUAGGAUAACCAUAGAUCAUUGGGAAAUAAUAUAUGAAGUUGAGCACCAUGUUUAAGUAGGGAUUACAGCGGGGAGAAGGGGUGUUGCACCGCUGCAUAGAGGGGGAGAAAGUUGGUGUUGGCGGUAGCAAGAUUGUUGAUGUAGAUCGCUGUCAUGAUCCUUGCCCCGGCGGUGUUCCGACGCCACCGGGAGAGAGGGGGUGUUGGGGAUAUAACUAUUGGGUAUGACCCACCCAGGAGGGUCCGGGUUAUACCGCUGGUGGUUUGUUAUGGCGAAGCCCAUAAAGAUGUUGAAGAUGGCGGUUCACGAAGCAGGCUUACUGAAGGCCCAAAACCCAAAGGCGACUUAAGGCCCAACAGGUGUAAACCGCCAUAUAUGUAUGACUUGUAUUAUAAGGCAUGUAUAGUUAGUCACCGAGCCGGACACAUUGUGUAUGAGCCAGUUGGGACUCCGUGAGCCGCCGGGCGUCAACCUGUGUAUAUAAAGGGACGACCCGGCGGCGAUUCAGGACAAGGGACAAGAGAACGAAAGCUAGGUCAAGCGUAAUUGCUCCCUAGUAAUCGAAGCAUAAGAAAUACCACCUCAAACUGGAUUAGGCUUUUACCUUCACCGCAAGGGGCCGAACCAGUAUAAACUCCUUGAGUCCUUUGUCCCGUUUAACCCCUUUAAGCUAACCUAGUUGCGAUGGCUCCAUGACUAAGUCCUUCUGCUAGGACAUCUGCCGUGACGAUUCCACGACAGUUGGCACCCACCAUGGGGCCAGCGCACGGUGGUUUCGAGUUCUUACAGGGCAGCUUUGAAGGGAUCAAGGGAUACGCUAUGGGCCGGAUGACCAAGAGUCGUCGCGACAAGCUCUACAUCGACGAUGCAGGCUGGGGCCCCGAGGCCGGCUCAAUCGAGUACGGGUACCGGGUCCCCUUCGGCGGAAUCCACGUCUUCAUCGGCAAGAUCGGCGAACCGGGCCCUGAGCCGGACAUCUGCACCGACAUCAUCGAGACGGCUCAGCGGGCACGACCCGCCCGGGUUCAUCCCAUCGUGAGCGCGCCUUCGUUGGAUUUAUCCAUGGGGCGGAAUUUGAGGAAGGAUCUAUGUCUGGCGGUGAGACGGCCAUCUACUCCGAUGGUGAAUCGUCCACAGGCGAGACUAAUUCAAUGUAUCAGCUACAAGACGGUCGGCUUGGGGGAUGUUUCGAUGGUGACAGUAUUCCGGACCCCUAUGAGCCGCCGAACAGGGUGGCGAUCUUCAUGGCCGGUACACAGUCGGUACUUGGUUCAAUGACUGCCGCGGCUAUAACCUCUGAUUCAACGGAUGCGGCGAUGGCUGGUGCUGGCGGCUCAACACGCCCACCGGCUCAAGUUUUAAUAGAACUGUUGGAGGCUCUGGCGACUUUGAUGGGGAUAGAGGUAACCCCGGACAACCAGGAACAGCAUAAGGUAGAUGUGGCUAAGCUGCAAGAUGAGAUAGCUCAAGCUAAGGAAGAGCUGGCGGCUGAGAACGCUAGGAUGACUGCGGAGCGGGCUGUUUUGGACGCACAGGCACAGCGGAUUCCUUCCGGCUCACAUCGAUCAGAACGCUUCAAACGAGAUCAUGAGGAGGAGGCACCAGAGUCGUUUGCCCCAGUUUAUGAUGCGAGAAACCUCUUCAAUACGCCUGGAGCGGGGACCAGUAACCCGCCGGAGGUAAACCGGGUGAUGGCAACGCCUGGGGCUGGAGCGUCGGCUCAGCCGCGCACGACAGAUCCACCUUGUUUGAAUACUACCCUGCCGCAGUAUGUGCCGACGCCAUCGGAUCAUUAUUCUAACCCAUUGGAUAAUAUGAUCGCUGCGGCGACACGAUUGGCGGCUCUCCAAGUUGAAGGCGAGUCUCCGGCUGCGAUUGAAACACGGAGGGCUAGAGAACUUCUUCAGACAGCAUUGGUCCAACAGGAGGCCUAUUCUUACAGUCGUGAGAGGAUUCACUCAACCCCUCGCCCGAGUCGGAGUUAUAGCAGGCAUAUAGAUUCACCAGCAGUCUCAAGCAGUGACAGGCGCCGUAACCAGCCUCGUGAGCAUGACCCGGUGCGCAAUGGUGCUAAUGCUCAGGCUUUGGUAGAUCAGGGUAGAGCACGUCGGGAGGCUGAGCUGGCGGCUCAGCAAGUGGCUCAUCAACAUUCUCCGGGUUAUCCGACAACUUUGGUGGAAACAGGUGUGACCUCCAGAACCUUGGGUGUACCAUGUUUAGUGCCGGCUCUACGUAACGUGCGUUUGGAUUUCAAGGGCCCUUGUAAGGUGCCUAACUACAUAGCGGAUCAGCCCCCCUGAAGCUUGGGUUGAAAGUUAUGAGAUGGCAAUGGAGCUGUUGGAUGUUGGCGAUGCUGCAUGUGCUAAAUAUUUCACUAUGAUGUUGGAUGGAACAACUCAUACUUGGUUGAAAGGGUUGCCAGCCAACUCCAUUGGAUCAUGGGCCGAGUUAAAAGCCUGGUUUAUCCAGAAUUAAGACACGUGCAAACAGCCUAUGUCAAUUGUGGAUAUGGACUCAUGUGUCCAAGAAGAGGGCGAGUCAACAACCCAUUGGGUGCGCCGGGUCUCAGCCAUCCUGCACUCAUCAGAUCGUAUCAAUGCCGGUUCAGCAGUUCUAAUGUUGGAGAAAAACUGUCGUUUUAUGCCUCUUAAGCAGAAGCUGGUGCGGCUCAAAUGCCACUGCAUUGACAUAGGGGAGCUCAUGGCGGCUCUGGUCAAGUAUGCCGACUCUAAUAGUACCAAGGACCCUGAGUCUGAUGAGGAAAGGCCGGGUAAGGGAAAGAAGAGUAGCAACACCAAGGGGCAGCAUAACCCGGCGAAUCAGGGGGGCAAUGGUAAGCGCAAGGCUGGUAGUAGUUUGGAUUUUGUGGCUAACACCAACACGCAGAAUAAUGGUCAGCGCCGUAAAGGGAAGCCAAAUCCUUGGUUUGGAGGGCAAAAUUUCAACCUUGUGGAGAUGAUGAAUCAGCCCUGCCCAAAGCAUGGUACACGGGAAAAGCCGGCAGCUCACCUCUGGAAGGAUUGCUUCAUCAUGAGGGAGUACAGAAAUUCAAUUUUUUUCAGAAUAAUCAUGGGCCGGACGGCGGCUCAGGACCCGGCUCUCACGGUCCGGGUUACGGUGGUGGAGGUUCUAGUUCCGGUUUUCAGGGCCAAGGCAAUCAGGGUGGUUUUAAUCAACAGUUUGGUCAGGGGAAUCAGCAGCAGUCUUGUUAUUAGAGUAAUCCGAAGCAGCUGAAUAGUGGGCAGUAUCAUGUCUUCACCACGAGUUUGUGUAAGCGAGAUCAGAAACUCCAUAAGAGAGCAGUAAACGCAGUUGAGCCGGCAAUUCCCCGUUACUUGCGAUGGUCUGAACACCCUAUUCUUUGGAGCCGUGAAGAUCACCCGCCCCGUGUUGAUAACCCGGGUCACCUGGCGCUGGUGGUGGCGCCUCAGGUUGGGGGUACAAAUUCACUAAGGUACUCAUGGAUGGAGGUAGCAGCAUCAAUAUCCUAUACUAUGAUACUUUCCAUCGCAUGGGAUUGACCGACAAAAAUCUUAAGCCGUCGAACACUGUUUUUCACGGUGUGGUAGCUGGUAAGUCGGCAUAUCCAGUGGGCAAAAUAUCUUUAAAGGUUGCCUUUGGAGAUGAGUAUGAUUCCAGGUCUGAGACGUUGACCUUCGAAGUGGUUAAAAUCAAGAGCCCCUAUCAUGCUCUGUUUGGGCGGCCGGCUUACGCUAAAUUCAUGGCAAGGCCUUGUUAUGUUUACUUACAGCUUAAAAUGCCGGGUCACAAGGGCACCAUCACAGUGCAUGGAAGUCGCAAGGUAGCCUUGGAGUGUGAAGAAGGUGAUGCUGCUUAUGCUGAAUCUGUCUGUGCAACAGAGGAAUUGAAAUUUUACAAGGAUAAUGUUGACCCGGCAGAUAUGACAUCUUUGAAGAAACCAACCACAGAGCAUGACCCCUUGUUGAAGUUUAAAUUGGCAGAUGACACUAAGCUAGUUGACUUCGUUCCUGGCGACUCAUCCAAGCAGUUCAGCAUUAGUGCUAAUCUGGAUCCGAAAUAGGAAAGCGCGCUCAUCGAGUUCAUCCGUGAGAACCGGGACAUCUUUGCAUGGAAACCUUCAGACAUGCCAGGUGUACCGAGAGAACUCGCUGAGCACACUCUCAAUAUUGAUCCAAAGUUUAAGCCAAUCAAGCAAUUUCUUUGCCGUUUCAAUGAAGAGAGGCGCAAGGCUAUUGGUGAAGAAGUGGCCCGACUCUUGGCGGCUGGGUUUAUCGUUGAAGUCUUUCAUCCUGAGUGGUUGGCUAACCCGGUGCUGGUACUUCAGAAAAAUGGCACCUGGCGCGUGUGUGUGGACUAUACGGAUUUAAACAAGGCUUGUCCGGCUGAUCCCUUCGCUCUCCCCCGUAUUGAUCAAAUUAUUGCUGCUACGGCGGGUUGUGAGCGUUUGAGUUUUUUGGAUGCUUAUUCUGGUUAUCAUCAGAUCAAGAUGGCAUUUAAGGACCAGGAGAAGACAGCCUUCAUCACUCCCUUUGGAGCCUUCCGUUACGUGUCUAUGACUUUUGGCCUCAAGAGUACCCAAGCGACUUACCAGCGGUGUGUGCAAAAUUGCCUUCAUGAUCAGAUUGGGCGCAAUGUUCGUGCUUAUGUGGAUGAUAUUAUGGUGAAAUCCAGAAAGAAGGAGACCCUGAUAGAUGAUUUGAAGGAGACCUUCGACAAUCUCCGGGCACAAGAUGAUGCUUAACCCGGCCAAGUGCGUCUUUGGUGUGCCAGCAGGCAAGCUCUUGGGUUUUCUGGUUUCAGAAUGAUGUAUUGAAGCUAACCCAGAGAAAAUAAAGGCUAUCACCUCUCUGGCUAAACCGGCGUGUAUCAAUGAUGUUCAGCGUUUGGUAGGUCGUAUUGCAGCCUUAAUCCGGUUCAUAAGCCGGUUGGGUGAGAAGGCCAUCCCUCUUUACUAGAUGAUGAAGAAGACAGAUCACUUUGUUUGGAGUGAUGUUGUUGAUCAAGCGUUUGAGGCCUUGAAGAAACAGUUGGCCGAGCCGCCGGUUCUUGCUGCUCCCAUCGAUAAAGAGCCUUUGUUGUUAUAUAUGGCCACCAAUAGCCGAGCUAUCAGCGUAGCCAUUGUGGUGGAAAGGAAGGAAUUAGGCAAGGAGCAUCCGGUUCAGCGGCCGGUUUACUACAUCAGUGAAGUGCUUAUUGAGUCCAAGCAGAGGUAUCCACAUUGGCAGAAGCUUGUAUAUGGGGUGUUCAUGGCUAGCCGAAAACUCAAGCAGUAUUUUCUGGGUCAUCCUAUCACUGUGGUUAGUUCUGCUCCUUUAGGGGAUAUCAUUCAAAACAGAGAAGCCACUGGUCGGACAGCCAAAUGGGCCAUUGAGCUUGGACCUCAUGGUUUGAAGUAUGUGCCUCGCACAGCCAUCAAGUCGCAAGCACUUGUGGAUUUUAUCAAUGAUUGGACAGAGUUGCAGAUGCCUGAGGAGAAGCCGGAUAGCACAUACUGGACUAUUCACUCUGAUGGAUCCAGGCAGUUGGAGGGCUCGGGGGCUAGAGUUGUCUUGACUUCCCCAUGAGGUGAUAAAUUUUCCUAUGUUCUCCGGUUGAUGUUCCCUUGUACUAACAAUGCAGCUAAGUAUGCGGCCUUGCUCCAUGGUCUUCGGAUGGCUAAGGAGAUGAACUUAAGCCGGGUGAGGUAUUUUGGCGACUCAGAUCUAGUAGCUCAACAAGUUUCUGGCACUUGGGAUUCCAAGGAUCCACUCUUGGCGGCUUAUCACCGAGAAGUUGAUGUUAUCGCUGGUCACUUCAAAGGUUAUGAAGUUGAACUUGUUGAUCGCAGGAAAAAUGAGGCGGCUGAUGCUUUGAGCCAGUUAGGGUCCCAGCGUAAGCCGGUGCCACCUAACACUUUCCUGGAUAUUCUGCAUAACCCUUCGGUCAAAUUGCCUAUAGAGGAAGAUCUAGCUAUUCCUGACCCGGAAGCACAGUUGGUAGCAGCUCUUCAUGUUAUUCCUGAUUGGAUGGUUCCAUAUUUGGCUUAUAUGACCCGGGGCGAGUUACCUGAAGAUGAAACUUUGGCCAGGUAGAUAACCCGGCGGUCUAAGUCAAUGACUAUUGUCAAUGGAGAGUUGCGUUAUCGCAGUGUCACAGGGGCAUUUCAACGUUGCAUUUCUCCUGAGGAAGGUUGUGAGAUUCUACGAGAGAUUCAUGAAGGAGAUUAUGGUCAUCAUGCCGGCUCUAAGUCUCUUGUAGCCAAGGCUUUCCGUCAUGGGUUUUAUUGGCUGACGGAUCAUGCUGAUGCAGAAGAUUUGGUCAAUAAAUGUGACGGUUGUCAGAAAUUUUCACGAUGAGCUCAUGUGCCAGCUCAAGAAUUGAGGAUGAUUCCAAUUGCUUGGCCAUUUGCAGUUUGGGGGCUUGAUAUGGUUGGGCCUUUCAAAAGAUCCAAAGAUAAAAAGACCCGCCUUUUGGUGGCGGUUGACAAGUUUACAAAGUGGGUUGAAGCAGAGCCGGUUAGUAAGUGUGACACGGUGAUGGCGGUGCAAUUCAUCAAAAAGGUGAUUUUCCGUUUUGGCUUUCCCCAUAGCAUUAUAACUGAUAAUGGACUAAUCUGUCCAAGGGUGCUAUGAAAGAAUUUUGUCAACGUGAGCAUAUCCGACUUGACGUAUCAUCAGUGGCUCACCCCCAGUCCAAUGGUCAAGCUGAGAGAGACAAUCAAGAGAUUUUGAGAGGCAUCAAGCCCCGGCUUAUGGUUCCUUUACAGAGGACGCCGGGUUGUUGGGUGGAGGAGUUACCCUCAGUGUUAUGGAGUAUCAAUACUACCCCCAACAGAUCUACGGGUUACACGCCUUUCUUCAUGGUUUACGGAGCAGAGGCGGUUCUCCCUAGUGACAUCCGUCAUGAUUCGCCUCGUGUGGCGGCUUAUGUUGAAGCUGGUAAUGAAAGAGCACGUCAGGAUGCACUUGACCUAUUGGAUGAGGAGCGUGACCUUGCAGCGGCUCGUUCGGCGAUUUACCAACAAGAUUUGCGUCGUUAUCACAGCUGCCGGGUUAAAACCAGAACCUUUCAAGAUGGCGACUUGGUGCUCCGGCUUAUCCAGGAUCAGACUGAUAUGCAUAAACUAUCCCCACCUUGGGAAGAGCCUUUUGUGGUCAGCAAAAAUCUGAACAAUGGGUCAUACUACCUUAUCGAUGUUCGAGGCCACAAGGACUCAUGCACGUCAGAGGAGGAGACCCGCUGGCCGUGGAAUAUUGCUCAUCUUCGGCCUUACUAUACUUGAGCCUCCGGCUCUGGUGAUGUACAUAUUUUGACAGUGUAUAUAUUAUGAUGAAUAUAAUAAAGCCGGCACCCCUGAUAAUUCAGGGCCUCUGUCGUUUCGUUUUGAGAAUAAUGAGUCUUUAUUGUCAUAUCAUAUGGUCACUUGGGGGCUUCCUGCUCAUCAAGCAUAGCUAUGACUACCCUCUUGAUCCGGCUUGUACGCCAUGAUUACUAAAUACUUGGGGGCUUCCUGCUCAUUGAGCAUAGCUGUGAUUACCCUAUUCAUCCGGCUUGUACGCCUGGAAUGAAAUAUUACUUGGGGGCUCUUUGUUCAACGGACAAGAGUUUUUUGACCCUUGUAAUAGGCUUGGAAGCCAGGUGUAUUCACCUCAAAACCUGGGUUAUCCUGCCUUUUAAGUCUGCCACUUCGCCCAGAUUGACUGGAAUGACUCGCCGUACUUUUGACAAGUUAAUCUUAUACAGACCCUGAACUUGUCAAAGUUAAAACGAUGAUUGGUCAUGUGAGGCCCGACUUAUAAGGUUGAGUGAAGGUUUAACUCAGUGGUUGUCCAUCCCUUUGAACGCACUUGAUUUGAAGGUUUGGCAGCCUAUGAAAGCCUUGUUUUUGUCUUUUGAUUUAUAUUUGAUUUGAACAUUUUUUGCGGUUCAUCUUUUGUGACAUGUUAAUGCAUGAUGGAAAACCAAUGAGGGCUAUGAUGUCUUAGGAUUCACAUAUGAAUCUAUCUGGAGUUUGUUAACCCGGCCUGGCUUUGGACUAUGAGUCACCAGUGUAUAAUGAUCUAAUACACUUAGAAGCGUUGUGCUCUAAGUUUUGGGAUAUUAAUCCUUGCUGCAUACGGUGUGGUAAGCUGGCAGUAUAUGUCAAUUGAACAAGGCAUUGUGCGCUCAAUCUUUUGGGUGGUAACCCUCACUGAACAGGUAUGAUAAGCCGGCAGUAUGAGCAAAUAUCACAGGUAUGAUAUUUUGUUAUAAGUAUAUAAGGUUAUUGAUACAUCUCAAUGUAUCUAUAAUUUUUUAUUGUUCCAUGCUAUAUUAUAUUCUGUUUUGGAUGUUUAAUGGGCUUUAUUAUACACUUUUAUAUUAUUUUUGGGACUAACCUAUUAACCGGAGGCCCAGCCCAAAUUGUUGUUUUUUGCCUAUUUUAGUGUUUCGCAGAAAAAGAAUAUCAAACGGAGUCCAAACAGAAUGAAACCUUCGGGAACAUGAUUUUCGGAACAAACGUGAUCCAGAGGACUUGGAGUGGACGUCAAGCAACACACGAGGAAGCCACGAGGUAGGGGGGCACGCCUACCCCCCUGGGUGCGCCCUCCACCCUCGUGGGCCCCUUGUGGCUCCACCGACCUACUUCUUCCUCCUAUAUAUACCUACGUACCCCCAAACCAUCGAGGAGCACCACGAAAACCUAAUUCCACCGCCGCAACCUUCUGUACCCGUGAGAUCCCAUCUUGGGGCCUUUCCCGGCGUCCUGCCGGAGGGGGCAUUGAUCACGGAGGGCUUCUACAUCAACACCAUAGCCUCUCUGAUGAUGUGUGAGUAGUUUACCUCAGACCUUCGGGUCCAUAGUUAUUAGCUAGAUGGCUUCUUCUCUCUCUUUGGAUCUCAAUACAAAGUUCUCCUCGAUUCUCUUGGAGAUCUAUUUGAUGUAACUCUUCUUUUGCGGUGUGUUUGUCGAGAUCCGAUGAAUUGUGGGUUUAUGAUCAAGAUUAUCUAUGAAAAAUAUUUGAAUCUCCUCUCAAUUCUUUUAUGUAUGAUUGGUUAUCUUUGCAAGUCUCUUCGAAUUAUCAGUUUGGUUUGGCCUACUAGAUUGAUCUUUCUUGCAAUGGGAGAAGUGCUUAGCUUUGCGUUCAAUCUUGCGGUGUCCUUUCCCAGUGACAGCAGGGGCAGCAAGGCACGUAUUGUAUUGUUGCCAUCGAGGAUAAAAAGAUGGGGUUUAUAUCAUAUUGCAUGAGUUUAUCCCUCUACAUCAUGUCAUCUUGCUUAAAGCGUUACUCUGUUCUUAUGAACUUCAUACUCUAGAUGCAUGCUGGAUAGCGGUCGAUGUGUGGAGUAAUAGUAGUAGAUGCAGAAUCGUUUCGGUCUACUUGUCACAGACGUGAUGCCUAUAUACAUGAUCAUACCUAGAUAUUCUCAUAACUAUGCUCAAUUCUAUCAAUUGCUCGACAGUAAUUCGUUUACCCACCGUAAUACUUAUGCUAUCUUGAGAGAAGCCACUAGUGAAACCUAUGGCCCCCGGGUCUAUUUUCCAUCAUACUAAUCUUCCGUCAACAAGUUAUUUCUAUUACCGUUUAUUUUGCUUUCUUUACUUUUAGUCUUUAUCAUAAAAAUACCAAAAAUAUUAUCUUAUCAUCUCUAUCAGAUCUCACUCUCAUAAGUGACCGUGAAGGGAUUGACAACCCCUUUAUCGCGUUGGUUGCGAGGUUCUUAUUUGUUUGUGUAGGUGCAUGGGACUUGAGCGUGGCCUCCUACUGGAUUGAUAGCUUGGUUCUCAAAACUGAGGGAAAUACUUAUGCUACUUUGCUGCAUCACCCUUUCCUCUUCAAGGGAAAACCAACGCGGUGCUCAAGAAGUAGCAAGAAGGAUUUCUGGCGCCGUUGCCGGGGAGUCUACGCACAAGUCAAGACAUACCAAGUACCCAUCAAAAACUCUUAUCCCUCGCAUUACAUUAUUCGCCAUUUGCCUCUCGUUUUCCUCUCCCCCACUUCACCUUUGCCGUUUUAUUCGCCCUCUUUUCCAUUCGCCUCUUUUUCGCUUGCCUCUUGUUUGCUUGUGUGUUGGAUUGCUUGCUUGUCCCGAUGGAUCUACCUAGAUUUGGUGAUCUUCACCUUAAAAGGUUAGAAGAGAUCGAAAGCAACGUCAGGAGUUUUAUGACUUUACAAUUUGAGCAUAAUAAUUUCUUUAGAAACAAGCUGAAGGAACAAAAAAGCUUUAUGGGAUACAUGAAUAAAGAGCUCGAUGACAUGUCUAAGGAAUUUUAUGGUUUGAAAUUUCAGAUUGCUCAUCUCAAAAACUUAAUAGCUGAAAUUUCGGAUAAGCAGACCACCUUAGUUAAUAAGAUGGCCACUAAAUCGGAAAAAUUUUAUGAGAAUAAAGAUGAAGAUCUAAAAUAUAUUGAUGUGUCCCUAUUAAAUCUUUGUUUUGCAAUAUGAAUCUUGAUAAUGAUGGGACUGAAAAUGAGUCAACUUUAGUUAGAAGGCGUUCCAAAAAUUCGGAGUUUUUAGAUCUUGAUGCAAAAAUUGGUAAAAGUGGGAUUGAAGAGGUCAAAAAUUUAGAUACCAAUGAACCCACUAUUUUGAUUUCAAGGAAUUUAAUUAUGAUAAUUGCUCUUUGAUAGAUUGUAUUUCCUUGUUGCAAUCCGUGCUAAAUUUGCCUCAUGCUUAUAGUCAAAAUAAAGCUUUUACUAAACAUAUUGUUGAUGCUUUAAUGCAAUCUUAUGAAGAAAAACUUGAGUUGGAAGUUUCUAACCCUAGAAAACUUUAUGAUGAAUGGGAACCUACUAUUUAAAUUAAAAUUAAAGAUCAUGAAUACUAUGCUUUGUGUGAUUUGGGUGCUAGUGUUUCCACGAUUCCAAAAACUUUGUGUGAUUUGUUAGGUUUCCGUGAAUUUGAUGAUUGUUCUUUAAACUUGCACCUUGCGGAUUCCACUAUUAAGAAACCUAUGGUAAGAAUUAAUGAUGUUCUUAUUGUUGCAAAUAGGAACUAUGUGCCCGUAGAUUUUAUUGUUCUUGAUAUAGAUUGCAAUCCUUCAUGUCCUAUUAUUCUUGGUAGACCUUUCCUUAGAACGAUUGGUGCAAUUAUUGAUAUGAAGGAAGGAAAUAUUAGAUUCCAAUUUCUGUUAAGGAAAGGCAUGGAACACUUUCCUAGAAAGAAGAUAAAAUUACCUUAUGAAUCUAUUAUGAGAGCCACUUAUGGAUUGCCUACCAAAGAUGGCAAUACCUAGAUCUACCCUCGCUUCUAUGCCUAGCUAGGGGCGUUAAACGAUAGCACUUGUUGGGAGGCAACCCAAUUUUUAUUUUAGUUUUUUGCUUUUUGCUCCUGUUUAGGAUUAAAUCUUUGAUCUAGCCUCUGGUUAGAUGUGUUUUUGUGUUUUAAUUAGUGUUUGUGCCAAGUUAAACCUAUAGGAUCUUCUUGGAUGAUAGUUAUUUUAUCUUGCUGAAAAUUCCAGAAACUUUCUGUUCAUGAAAACAAUUGUUAAAAAUCACCAGAACGUGAUAAAAUACCGAUUCCAAUUGCAGAAGAUCAAUAAACAAAUUAUCUAGGUCUUCCUAUUUUGGAAGAUAUUUUUGAGUUCCAGAAGUUUGCGUUAGUUACAGAUUACUACAGACUGUUCUGUUUUUGACAAAUUCUGUUUUUCGCGUGUUGUUUGCUUAUUUUGAUGAAUCUAUGGCUAGUAAAAUAGUUUAUAAACCAUAGAGAAGUUGGAAUACAGUAGGUUUAACACCAAUAUAAAUAAAGAAUGAGUUCAAUACAGUACCUUGAAGUGGUGUUUUGUUUUCUUUCGCUAACGGAGGUCACGAGAUUUUCUGUUAAGUUUUGUGUUGUGAAGUUUUCAAGUUUUGGGUAAAGAUUUGAUGGAUUAUGGAACAAGGAGUGGCAAGAUCCUAAGCUUGGGGAUGCCCAAGGCACCCCAAGGUAAAUCUAAGGACACCAAAAAGGCAAAGCUUGGGGAUGCCCCGGAAGGCAUCCCCUCUUUUGUCUUCGUCCAUCGGUAACUUUACUUGGAGCUAUAUUUUUAUUCACAACAUGAUAAGUGUUUUGCUUGGAGCCUCUUGUAUUAUUUGAGUCUUUGCUUUUUAGUUUACCACAAUCAUCUUCGCUGUACACACCUUUUGAGAGAGGCACACAUGAUUCGGAAUUUAUUAGAAUACUCUAUGUGCUUCACUUAUAUCUUUUGAGCUAUAUAGUUUUUGCUCUAGUGCUUCACUUAUAUCUUUUAGAGCACGGUGGUGGUUUUGUUUAUAGAAACUAUUGUUCUCUCAUGCUUCACUUAUAUCAUUUAGAGAGCACUACAAAACAGCAUGGUAAUUUUCUUAAAUUGAGAAAUUAGUCCUAAUAUGAUAGGCAUCCAAGAUUAGUAAAAACUUUCUUAUAAGUGCGUUGAAUACUAAGAAAAUUUUGAUGCUUGAUGAUUGUUUUGAGAUAUGGAGGUAGUGAUAUUAAAGUUGUGCUAGUUGAGUAGUUGUGAAUUUGAAAAAUACUUGUGUUGAAGUUUGCAAGUCCCGUAGCAUGCACGUAUGGUAAACGUUGUGUAACAAAUUUGAAACAUGAGGUGUUCUUUGAUUGUCCUCCUUAUGAGUGGCGGUCGGGGACGAGCGAUGGUAUUUUCCUAUCAAUCUAUCCCCCUAGGAGCAUGUGUGUAAUGCUUGGUCUUUGAUGACUUGUAGAUUUUUGCAAUAAGUAUGUGAGUUCUUUAUGACUAAUGUUGAGUCCAUGGAUUAUACGCACUCUCACCCUUCCAUCAUUGCUAGCCUCUUCGGUACCGUGCAUUGCCCUUUCUCACCUUGAGAGUUGGUGCAAACUUCGCCGGUGCAUCCAAACCCCGUGAUACGAUACGCUCUAUCGCACAUAAACCUCCUAAUAUCUUCCUCAAAACAGCCACCAUACCUACCUAUUAUGGCAUUUUCAUAGCCAUUCCGAGAUAUAUUGCCAUGCAACUUUCCACCGUUCCGUUUAUCAUGACACGUUUCAUCAUUGUCAUAUUGCCUUGCAUGAUCAUGUAGUUGACAUCGUAUUUGUGGCAAAGCCACCAUGCAUAUUUUUCAUACAUGUCACUCUUGAUUCAUUUCCCAUCCCGGUACACCGCCGGAGGCAUUCAUAUAGAGUCAUACUUUGUUCUAGUUUCGAGUUGUAAUCAUUGAGUUGUAAAUACUUGAUUCAUUGCCCAUCCCGCAACCUUCUGUACCCGUGAGAUCCCAUCUUGGGGCCUUUUCCGGCGUCCUGCCGGAGGGGGCAUUGAUCACGGAGGGCUUCUACAUCAACACCAUAGCCUCUCUGAUGAUGUGUGAGUAGUUUACCUCAGACCUUCGGGUCCAUAGUUAUUAGCUAGAUGGCUUCUUCUCUCUCUUUGGAUCUCAAUACAAAGUUCUCCUCGAUUCUCUAGGAGAUCUAUUUGAUGUAACUCUUCUUUUGCGGUGUGUUUGUCGAGAUCCGAUGAAUUGUGGGUUUAUGAUCAAGAUUAUCUAUGAAAAAUAUUUGAAUCUCCUCUCAAUUCUUUUAUGUAUGAUUGGUUAUCUUUGCAAGUCUCUUCGAAUUAUCAGUUUGGUUUGGCCUACUAGAUUGAUCUUUCUUGCAAUGGGAGAAGUGCUUAGCUUUGCGUUCAAUCUUGCGGUGUCCUUUCCCAGUGACAGCAGGGGCAGCAAGGCACGUAUUGUAUUGUCGCCAUCGAGGAUAAAAAUAUGGGGUUUAUAUCAUAUUGCAUGAGUUUAUCCCUCUACAUCAUGUCAUCUUGCUUAAAGCGUUACUCUGUUCUUAUGAACUUCAUACUCUAGAUGCAUGCUGGAUAGCGGUCGAUGUGUGGAGUAAUAGUAGUAGAUGCAGAAUCGUUUCGGUCUACUUGUCACAGACGUGAUGCCUAUAUACAUGAUCAUACCUAGAUAUUCUCAUAACUAUGCUCAAUUCUAUCAAUUGCUCGACAGUAAUUCGUUUACCCACCGUAAUACUUAUGCUAUCUUGAGAGAAGCCACUAGUGAAACCUAUGGCCCCCGGGUCUAUUUUCCAUCAUACUAAUCUUCCGUCAACAAGUUAUUUCUAUUACCGUUUAUUUUGCUUUCUUUACUUUUAGUCUUUAUCAUAAAAAUACCAAAAAUAUUAUCUUAUCAUCUCUAUCAGAUCUCACUCUCAUAAGUGACCGUGAAGGGAUUGACAACCCCUUUAUCGCGUUGGUUGUGAGGUUCUUAUUUGUUUGUGUAGGUGCAUGGGACUUGAGCGUGGCCUCCUACUGGAUUGAUAGCUUGGUUCUCAAAACUGAGGGAAAUACUUAUGCUACUUUGCUGCAUCACCCUUUCCUCUUCAAGGGAAAACCAACGCAGUGCUCAAGAAGUAGCAAGAAGGAUUUCUGGCGCCGUUGCCGGGGAGUCUACGCACAAGUCAAGACAUACCAAGUACCCAUCAAAAACUCUUAUCCCUCGCAUUACAUUAUUCGCCAUUUGCCUCUCGUUUUCCUCUCCCCCACUUCACCUUUGCCGUUUUAUUCGCCCUCUUUUCCAUUCGCCUCUUUUUCACUUGCCUCUUGUUUGCUUGUGUGUUGGAUUGCUUGCUUGUCCCGAUGGAUCUACCUAGAUUUGGUGAUCUUCACCUUAAAAGGUUAGAAGAGAUUGAAAGCAACGUCAGGAGUUUUAUGACUUUACAAUUUGAGAAUAAUAAUUUCUUUAGAAACGAGCUGAAGGAACAAAAAAGCUUUAUGGGAUACAUGAAUAAAGAGCUCGAUGACAUGUCUAAGGAAUUUUAUGGUUUGAAAUCUCAGAUUGCUCAUCUCAAAAAAUUAAUAGCUGAAAUUUCGGAUAAGCAGACCACCUUAGUUAAUAAGAUGGCCGCUAAAUCGGAAUUUUUUUAUGAGAAUAAAGAUGAAGAUCUAAAAUAUAUUGAUGUGUCCCCUAUUAAAUCUUUGUUUUGCAAUAUGAAUCUUGAUAAUGAUGGGACUGAAAAUGAGUCAACUUUAGUUAGAAGGCGUUCCAAAAAUUCUCAUAACUAUGCUCAAUUCUAUCAAUUGCUCGACAGUAAUUUGUUUACCCACCGUAAUACUUAUGCUAUCUUGAGAGAAGCCACUAGUGAAACCUAUGGCCCCCGGGUCUAUUUUCCAUCAUAUUAAUCUUCCGUCAACAAGUUAUUUCUAUUACCGUUUAUUUUGCUUUCUUUACUUUUAGUCUUUACCAUAAAAAUACCAAAAAUAUUAUCUUAUCAUCUCUAUCAGAUCUCACUCUCGUAAGUGACCAAGAAGGGAUUGACAACCCCUUUAUCGCGUUGGUUGCGAGGUUCUUAUUUGUUUGUGUAGGUGCGUGGGACUUGAGCGUGGCCUCCUGCUGGAUUGAUACCUUGGUUCUCAAAACUGAGGGAAAUACUUACGCUACUUUGCUGCAUCACCCUUUCCUCUUCAAGGGAAAACCAACGCAGUGCUCAAGAGGUAGCAGUUAUGAUUGAACCGGCCCUAGUUAUGGAUUGUUAGUCACCAAUGGUUUUUAUAUAGGGUGUUGUGACCCGCCCUGGGGUAAACCGCCAGGGUACUUGUGAUCUGUUUUGUGUGCAGGUAAAAUACUAAAUCUAGCAUACAGAGUUGAUGUCAUCAUAAGCAUAAGUGGCCGAACUUCAAUUGGUAAAGCAGCAGUGUCAUGCAAAGCAAAACAUGCACGAUGGCACAGAAGAUCAAAAUUUUAACUAGCCUAUUACAAGGCAUCUGAUGGCCCAAGGAGAAUAAGUAUUUCGGAGCUGUCAACACAGCAAAGUAUUCUGCUUAAUAAACCGGCUUAUGACUAUUGGCGGGUUGAAGCCUCCGGGUCUUCCUUCACCUCUUCUUCAUCUGCAGCUCCUUGCUUAUCCAUCAGCUGGAAGUCAGGCGCAGCCCAGUUGAUACCGGUCAAUGCUCUAAACACAGCUUCAUCAUCAAUAAGAUUGGAUGGAUCAAUGUCAGGAGCGAAGGUGUGCUUACGAAUUAGCGGGCUGAGAUCUUUUGGCUCGUGAAUCGGCGCGCUCACUCUCUUGUUUUCAGCGUCAUAAGCCGACUGGUAUGUAGAUAGACUGGUUUCGUCAGCACUGAAGGCAGAUCCGUCUUCUUUGACACUAGGGCAGCCGUUGGCCAAAUCCUCCGGGUCAAGAUCGGCUUGCCAUGCCUUUUCCCGCCUUAAGGCAGUCGAGGCGCCGGCUCUGGCAGCUCCCCAUUUUAAGUCAUCAAUUCUUUUGGGAAGCACGGAUAACUGCUUCAGUGUAUCUUUGAUAAGUGUGGAGGGAGUUUUCUUGUGCAGCGUAGUAGCAAUGGUUCGUUGGGCACCAGUAUAUAACUGUUCUACAAGAGUGUAGACAGCCUUAAGCCGGACGUGCAUGUCUGAGCCCAACUUUGCACUCCGUGAACCUAUAUCAGUAAAAUUAUGAGUAAGUCGGCAGAUAUUCACAAUGUGAUUCUUGAGGUACAAAGGAGACAUGUUUUUCUACUUACCAAAGAUGGCUGACGACAUGAUAUUAAUAUGUUGCUUUAAGCCGGAUAACUCUUCAGUCACCGUCUUAAGUGCCGCUUCAGCAUCAUCUGUUCUCUUCAAUAGAGCCGCCUUCUCAGUUUCCCAGCCAUCUUUUUCAGCAUUGAAAUUUUGCUUCAGUUGUUCAAUAUUCUCCAAAGCAGUUUUUAAUUCUGUUUUGGCUUUGGAUGUCCCGGCUUGCUGAGUUUUCACACUGGCCUUCAGAUCAUUCAGCCGUGCAUCCUUUUCGGUCAGUUCAGCCUGUGAUAUAUGCAAACAUGAAAGGUGUUAUGAUCAUGAUGAUUUGUGAAGUCCCAAGCACAAUACAAGUAUUAUACUUGGCACUUGGGGGCUAAUGCCCCCUCCUUCUUAUUCUUCCUUGGCCUCCUCCCUAGAUGGGAGGAGAGUUCCCCCUCUGGUCCAUGGCCUCCAUGGGGGCGGAGGGGCGGGAUCCCCUCCAAGAUUGGAUCUCCCUCUCUGUUCUCUUCUGUUUCACGUUCCCCAGAUCUGGCCCUUCACCGUUUCUUAAAUUCCCGAAGAUCCAUAACUCCAAUUGCGCUUAAAUUUUUACACGAUUUUUUUUCAUAAACUAUCUUUCUUGCGCCAGAAGAAGGGCCCCAACCGCCUUACGGGCACAAGACACCUGGGCGCGCCAGGGGUGCCUGGCGCGCCCUGGUGGGUUGUGGAGGCCGUGGGCCUCCGUUAGCGUUGAUUCCAAGUCCCAAAAAUAAAAUAUAUUCCAAAAUAUAUCUCCGUAAAUUUUUAUCGCGUUUGGACUUUGUUUGAUAUGGAUUUUCUGCAAAAAAAAACAUGCGACAAAUAGGAACUGACACUAGGCACUGGAUCAAUAUGUUAGUCCAAAUAAAUCAUAUAAAAUGUUGCCAAAAGUUUAUAAAAGUUGUAUAAUAUUGGCAUGAAACAAUCAAAAAUUAUAGAUACGACGGAGACGUAUCAGCAUCCCCAAGCUUAAUUCCUGCUCGUCCUCGAGUAGGUAAAUGAUAAAAAAGAUAUUUUUUAUAUGGAAUGCUACCUAGCAUAAACUUGAUCAUAUAUCUAAUCAUGACAUGAAUAUUAAGACAUAAGUGAUUCAAAGCAAUAGUCUAUAAUUUGACAUAAAGACAUCAACACUCAGGCAUCCCAACAAACAUUCAUGUCUUUCAAAAUAUCAACGCUAAAGAAAGCUAUCCCUACAAAAUUAUAUUGUCUUGUCAUGCUCUGUCUUCUUAACACAAAGUAUUUCUCAUGCACAACCCCGAUGACAAGCCGAGCAAUUGGUUCAUACUUUUUAACACGCUUCAGCUUUUUCAAACCUCAUAUAAUACAUGAGCGCAAGCCAUGGAUAUAGCACUAUGGGUGGAAUAGAGUAUGAUGAUAGGGGUAAAUAUAGAGAAGACAAAAAAGUAAGAAAGUCUCACAUCGAUGCGGCUAACCAACGGGCUAUGGAGAUGCCCAUCAAUUGAUAUCAAUGCGAGGAGUAGGGAUUUCCAUGCAAUGGAUGCACUAAGAGCUAUAAGUGUAUGAAAGCUCAAUAUAACAACUAAGUGGGUGUGCAACUAAUCCUAUGAUGAAAAAUUCCCACUACUAUAUGAAAGUGACAACAUAGGAGACUCUCCAUAUGAAAAACAUGGUGUUACUUUGAAGCACAAGUGUGGAACUAGCAUGCCCCUUCUCCCUUUAUUUAUUCUUUCUUUCUUUCUUUUUUUUCUUUCUUUUUUCUUUCUUUUUUUCCUUUAUUUUUUUCUUUUCUUUUCUUUUUUAUAUAUUUUUUCUCUCAUUGUCCGGAGUCUCAUCCCGACUUGUGGGGGAAUCAUAGUCUCCGUCAUCCUUUCCUCACCGGGGCAAUGCUCUAAAAAUGAAUAAUGAUGAUCAUCACACUUCUAUUUACUUACAACUCAAUAGAAAUGAAAAUUACAACUCGAUACCUAUAACAAAGAAUGACUCUAUAUGAAUGCCUUUGGCAGUGUACCAGGAUGUGCAAUGAUCUAGCAUAACAACGAUAUCAAAAAACGGACAAGCCAUGUAAAUAACAUGCUAGCUAUCUUACGAUCAUGCAAAGUAGUAUGACAAUGAAUGCUCAAGUCAUCAAAAUGUAAACGGUGGACGUUGCAUGGCAAUAUAUCUCGGAAUGGCUAUGGAAAGGCCAUAAUAGGUAGGUAUGGUGGUUGUUUUGAGGAAGAUAUAAUAAAGCUUAUGUGUGAUAGAGCGUAUCAUAUCACGGGGUUUGGAUGCACAUGCGAAGUUUGCGCUGACUCUCGAGAUGAGAAAGGGAAAUGCACGGUAUCGUAGAGGCUAGCAAAUUGUGAAAAGAUAACAGUGCGUAUAAUCCAUGGACUCACAUUAGUCAUAAAGAACUCAUAUAAUUAUUGCAAAAGUUUAUGAGCCCUCGAAGCAAAUUACUACUACGCAUGCCCCUAGGGGGGUAGAUUGGUAGGAAAAGACCAUGGCUUGUCCCCGACCGCCACUCAUAAGGAAAACAAUCAAUAAUAAAUCAUGCUCCAACUUCAUAGCAUAACGAGAGACUAUACGUGCAUGCUUCGGGAAUCACAAACCUUAAUACCAAUAUCUUACUAACCACAACUGUUUACUAGUACCUCCCACAUAUUUCAUCUCUAUAUCGCAAAACUAUUGUAAGGAAUCAAACAUAUCAUAUUCAGUGAUCCACAAGUUUUAUGUAGGAUUUUAUGACUAACCAUGCAAUCGACCAAUUCCUGUUGACUCUCUAAAUAGAUCUAAGUGAGGCAUGAGAGUUUAAUUCUUUCUACAAAAGAUCAUGCUCUAAUAAAUAUAAGUGAAGCAAAAGAGCAUUCUACAAACAACGAUUUUCUAUAUGAAGAGAAACAGGCAAUCCAAACUUCAAAUGGUAUAAGUGAAGCACAUAAAGUAUUCUAUAAAGCCAUACUCAAAAGAUAUAAGUGAAGUGCAAUGAGCAUUCUAUAAAUCAACCAUGCACUAUCUCAUACCAGCAUGGUGCAUAAAAGAAAAAUGAAAACUAAGUGCAAAAGACGCUCCAAGAUUUAAGCAUAUCACGUGAACGAAACGAAGAUGAAAACAUACUGAUAGUUGUUGAAGAAAGAUGGGAUGCCUACCGGGGCAUCCCCAAGCUUAGACGCUUGAGUCUCCUUGAAUAUUUACUUGGGGUGCCUUGGGCAUCCCCAAGCUUGAGCUCUUGCCUCUCCUCCUUCUCCUCAUAUCGAUAACUCCUCGAUCUUUGAUCACUUCAUCCACACAAAACUCAACAGAAAGCUUGGUAAAAUCCGUUAGUAUAAUAAAGCAAAUCACUACUCUAAGUACUAUUGCAAAUCAAUUCAUAUUUUGUUUUUGCAUUGUAUCUACUAUAAUAUAACUUUUUCAUGGCUUAUUCCACUGAUAGAAUCGAUAGUUUUAUUAAAACAAGCAAAACAAUGCAUCAAAAACAGAAUCUGUCUUAAACAGGGCAGUCUGUAGUAAUCUGAACAUUCACCAUACUUCUGGUACUCCAAAAAUUCUGAAAAAUUAGGACAAAAUAAACAAUUUGUAUAUCAAGACUGUGCAAAAUGUUUCAGAAACUUUCGACGUUCCAGUAAAAAAUGUAAAAUCGCGCACUACAGCCAAAGUUUCUGUUUUUGCACCGCACAUACCAACAAGCAAUCUACUCAUCCUAAAGGCAAAUCUUGGCACAUUAUUUUUAUAAUACAAUGGAAUUGUACAAGGGGAUAAUUAUUUUUUUGAGAAUCUUCAUGAAAAAUUCUACAUUAUUUCCAUAAGCAUGAACACAAGUAUUCAAGGUCGACCCUCACUUCUCCAAUGCAUAACUUCCAAUCGCUUCUCUUUUGUGAAAAUGUUUUUAAGUUCCCAUCUAUAUCUUUUUUGUUUUAAAACUUUAUAAAAGCACCCAACAGAAAUAAAUGACUCUCUAAAACUUCCGGGUUGUCUCCCUAGCAGCGCUUUCUUUAAAGCCAUUAAGCUAGGCAUAAAGUGCUCAAGUAAUGAAUCCACCCGGAUCCCAAGGUAUAUCAAAGCUAAUUUUAAUUAACAAUGAUUUGGCAUUUAGUAAUGAGCACAAAGCAACAUAUAUCAUGCAAUGACGAAGUCUAACUCUCUUCCUAUGCAUCGGCAUGUCAUACAAGAACAAUUCAUGCACAUCAAGUAAAGGCCAAUACAUAGCAUAAAAAGUUUCUUGUAAUUCUUUCGUGUUGGAAACAUAGAGAGGCGGAGAUGUAAUUCCUCACUCAUAAUAAUUGCAAGUAGGAGCAGCAAUCACAUGCAUAUUAUAUUCAUGAAAAUCAUCAUGUGUAGUGGUAGAAUGCAACCCAUCAAUGUAAUCCUUAAUAAGAGCAAACUUCUCCGAUAUAGUGUAGUUUGGAGAAUUCAAAAAGAUAAUAGGACUAUCAUGUGUGGGUGCAAUAGCAACAAUUUCAUUCUCAACAAAAGGAACUAUAGCAAGUUCGUCUGCAUAAGCAUAAUCCAUAUUGGCAUCAUGGCCACAAGCAUAGCAAUCAUCAAGUUCAUCAAAAAGGGAUAUUUCAAAAGAAUCAACGAGAUCAUAGCAAUUAUCAUAGCAUUCAUCCUUCGGUGAGAACGAAGGGAAAUUAAAUAAUGUAUGUGUUGAAGAGUUACUCUCAUUAGAAGGUGGGCACGGGUAGCUAAUCCGCUCUUCUUCCUUUUGUUCUUCGCUCUCCUCAUCGUCUUUUUCAUCCAAUGAGCUCGCAGUUUCAUCAAUUUCUUCUUCCAUAGACUCCUGCAAAAUAUUAGUCUACUCUUGGAUAACGGAGACUUUCUCAAUAAAUUCAUCAAUAUCUGAAUUGUAUUUAUAAUUAUCAUAGCAAUAUUUAAGGAUAGCAAAAUUUUCAGGUCUAUAAACUGAAUCAUCAAAAUCUUCAAACUUUAAAAACAAAGAUUCAAUUUCAUAAGCACCCUUAAGAGCAACCAAUUCUUCUAUUCGUUCCACAUCAUAGUAAUCAUAUAUACCAUUAGCAUAGAAAGCUAAGGUUUCAUUAUCAUUAAAUUUGCAUGAAAAAGGAAGAUGUGGAGCGUUCAUCCUAGAGCAAAAAGUAUAAUCCUAUCUCAAGCAUAGCUCCCGAGCAUACCAAUGCAACAUAUGAAUUUCAUCCCAUAAAAAUUUCCCUUUAUGAGUUAAGCGAUAAUCCCUAAAGUAUUCGCGUUGAUCCAACGUUACUCCCAUUAUAUAGUUGAAUGGGGUUUUCUCACGAUUAUCAAAGUAGUGCAUAAUAUCUUCCACAUAACGAGCAUUGAGGGUUUUAGGAGGUUCCCCAUCUCCAUGAGUAGCAAGUACAACUAAUUUUUUUGGUGUUUCGUGUUCCAUAUCCAUAACUAAAGAUAGAGAACAACUUAGAACAGAAAAUAAAACUACUUAGUGAUAAAGCAAACAAGCACACACGAGAAUAUUCACCCCCACGCUAUUGCUCCCCGGCAACGGCGCCAGAAAAAGGUCUUGAUAACCCACAAGUAUAGGGGAUCAUUUGUAGCCUUCUUCGAUAAAUAAGAGUGUCGAACCCAACAAGGAACCCUAGGAAAUCGAUAACAAGUACGGGUAAUCAUUCUUGUAAUUUUAUAUGAGGGAGAGGCAUGAGCUAACAUACUUUCUCUACUUGGAUCAUAUGCGCUUAUGAUUGGAACUCUAGCAAGCAUCCGCAACUACUAAAGAUCAUUAAGGCCGUGAAACCCAACCAUAGCAUUAAGUAUCAAGUCCUCUUUAUCCCAUACGCAACAACCCACCUACUCGGGUUUAAGCUUCUGUCACUCUCGCAACCCACCAUAAGCAAAUCAUGAACGUAUUGCAACACUCUACAGCGGGGAUCUCCCACGUUUGCACGAGACGGAGGGCACUGUAGGACAGCACCAUAAAUAAAAUAGACAAUCGUACCAACCAAGAUCAUGAUUAACCCAUAGGACAAAACAGAUCUACUCAAACAUCAUAGGAUAACCAUAGAUCAUUGGGAAAAAAUAUAUGGAGUUGAGCACCAUGUUUAAGUAGAGAUUACGGUGGGGAGAAGGGGUGUUACACCGCUACGUAGAGGGGGAGAAAGUUGGUGUUGACAGUAGCAAGAUUGUUGAUGUAGAUCGCCGUCACGAUCCUAGCCCCGGCGGCACUCCGGCGCCACCGGAAGCGAGGGGGAGAGAGCCCCCUCCUUCUUCUUCUUCAUUGGCCUCCUCCCUAGAUGGGAGGAGAGUUCCCCCUCUGGUCCAUCGCCUCCAUGGCGGCGGAGGGGCAGGAGCCCCUCCGAGAUUGGAUCUCCCUCUUUGUUCUCUUCUGUUUCGCGUUCCCCAGAUCUAGCCCUUCACCGUUUCUUAAAUUCCUGGAGAUCCGUAACUCCGAUUGCGCUGAAAUUUUUACACUAUUUUUUCCAUAAAUUAUCUUUCUUGCGCCAGAAGAAGGGCCCCAACCGCCUUACGGGGUGGGCACAAGACACCUGGGCGCGCCAGGGGGUGUCUGGCGCGCCCUGGUGGGUUGUGGAGGCCGUGGGCCUCCGUUACCGUUGAUUCCAAGUCCCAAAAAUCACAUAUAUUCCAAAAUAAUUCUUCGUAAAUUUUUAUCGCGUUUGGAUUUCGUUUGAUAUGGAUUUUUUGCGAAACAAAAAACAUGCAACAAACAAGAACUGACACUGGGCAGUGGAUCAAUAUGUUAGUCCAAGUAAAUCAUAUAAAUAUUGCCAAAAGUUGUAUAAUAUUGGCAUGAAACAAUCAAAAAUUAUAGAUACGACGGAGACGUAUGAGAUGUCAACUCGUCGAGUUCUUGGGUGGACUGUCAAGAUGGGUUGUCCAGAUUGGAUCUACUAAUAUGCAAAUCUGCUAGUCUAUGGCUUUUGAAGAUGUUGAAUAUGUCCUUCGUCUUUGACAACUGCCUUUAUAGGGAUAUCGGUCAAUGGUCUCCAUCCCUUUACCUUCAUCUUCUUGCCUUGCAUGUCGUAGACCUCAUUCUUGUAGUCACGCGACUCCCCUCAAGGGCACCGGGAGUGGCAUGCCUAAGGGUGUUGCUCGCCCAAGUAUGGGCCUUAGUAUCAAGCAUAUAUAGGCAAAUACAACCCAAAAUACGGUAUGUGUAGCCCGGGAAUGCGGUGAAACCACCUCCCCUCGAUAAGGACAUCGGUCAAUAUUCGUAAUGCGCUGAAUCAAAAUAUUUACUUUCAUUUUAUAGUUCACCCAUCUCGUCCAAUUUGGAUAAUAUUGAUGUUGCUAUGGGAAGAAUAAUUGAGGGGGUAGGUGUGUCGGUGAGGGAUCUCUAGAAUGUAGAAAUUGAUUGUUUAAAGGUUUCUUCCAACAACUCGAGCCCUCAUGUGAACCUCAACACCAAGGAGGAGUGGGGAGCUAGGAGGGGGUACCGUCUGUGACGCUCAACUUCCCACUGUAACAAACCAGAUUAAUGAUAGUAAUUGAUAAUUGAUUAUUGAACAUAAGCAUCUCAUAAGCAUCAUGUUUAAUUAAAUUUUCAUUUGAAAAAUAGGAGAAUUCAACCCUCAAGUUUUCCAAAAACCAUAAAAUAAACACAACUUUAAUAAAAAGAUGUAGAUCUUAACCUAUUUAAAUGGAGGCACAUAGUGACUUCUCUUGAAAAACUGCACACAUCCUUCAAAUAUUAUUAGGCAUCUACCAAACUUAUUUUGCGAAUUUUGGAAAUACCUGCAACCCCAAUUAAUAACCAAAUUGGGUUUAUAUCUACAGAAAACAUAAAUAUAAACUAAAAAAUACCAAAAACUUUUGUAUGGGUUUGGUUAUUACCCAGAGAGCUACACAAAAAGUUUGAGAAAAUUUAGAGGUUGUUUGGUCCCUCAAGUAAAUGCAAAGAUGAGAUGCAUCUUAAAAAUAAAUAUAGAAGGCCCAAAAAUCAAGUGCACUUAAGCCCAAAAGGGCCCAUGCACCAAGCCCACCCCUCUUAUUCAACCUCAUGUACAAAAGACAGUGAGACUAGCUUUUGUCUCGCCGAAGGUUUCCCGUCCUCUCUCUAGUAAUGGGUUGGCCCUGCUCGCUCACUGGCUCGUUCGCUCGCUGCGUUUUGCUCGUGCUUUUUUCUUUUUUUCUUUUUGGUUUACCAUUCGGUUAUUUUAUUUCUUCAUGGAUUUUUUUGGUUUUUUGUCUUCCUUUGUUUUAAAAUUGUUUUUCGUUUUAUUCCUAUUUUUACUGGUUUUAUGUUUUUUUCUUUGUUUUUGUCCAUUUUUUCUGUUGUUCCUUUCUCCAUUUAUUGUUUUUUCUUUUCUAUUCUAUUUUCUUCGAUUUUGUUUCCAUCCUUCUUAGUUCUGAUCUUCUUCUUUUGUAUUUCUUCAGUUUUGAUUUGUUUUUCUGGGUUUUUCUUCGUUUCCUCAUGGGUUUUCAUGGUUUUUUCUUCGGGUUUUCUUGUUUUUGAGGUUUUUCUUUCUUCCGUUUCUUCGGUUUUCACCACUUUUGUUUGGCUUUUUUUCUUCAACGCAUGUCUACAUUUCCAUGCACAUUUGUACAUUUUACACAUAGAUCAAGAACAUUUGUUUAUACAUGUUUAAUAUUUUUGAAAUAUGUAAUUAACAAUUUUAAAAAUUUAUGUUUGAUGACUACUUUUUUCAGACACAUUGUACAUUUUUGGUAUAUAGCAAGAACAAAUUUUGAAACAUGUUUAGAAAAUUUAAAAUAUGUGAUUAACAUUUUUUAUACAUGGUGAACUUUUUUAAAAUUUAUAUUUAUAUGUUCAAAUCUUUAAUACAUGUUUUUACAUUUUUCAUAUACAUCAGGAGCAUUUUUUUGUACACAAAUAAUAUAUUUGAAAUAGAUGACUAAUUUUUUUUCCUGGUUGAUGACUACUUUUUCAUACACAUUGUACAUUUUCGGUAUAUAUCAGGAACAGUUUUUAUACACGGUUAACAUUUUUGGAACAUAUGAUUAACAUAUUUUGAUACACGAUCAACAAUUUUUAAAAAUUAUGUUCAAUUUUUAAUACAUGUUCUACAUUUUCUGUAUCAUAAGGAAGAAUAUACAUGUUUAACAUUUUUAUAAUAGAUGAUUAACAUUUUUUAAAUGCUUGAUUAACAUUUUUUAAUAAUACAUGAUCAACUUUUUUCAUGCACAUUUUAUUUGUUUUGUAUACAUUUUUUGUAUAGAUGAGAAACAUUUUUACUACACACAUUUAACAUUUUACAAAUGCUACAUUAACAUUUUCAAAUGUUUUAUCUAGAGUGUUUUUUGUAUUAUAUUUUUCAACUAUUUGGAAGUAUAAACAACAGUGAAAAGUGAAAGCAAAACACGAGAAAACAACAAAACAAAAAAAACGAGGCUGUGGCCUCCCGCGCGCCUAGGUCGGCCCAUCUCACGCCUCCAUUCAGGCGAGCCUUCCCUUUGUCUCGCGUGAAGCGAGGUAUAGCAGCGCCCCAAGAGACAGAACCAUGGUGUGGCGCACAUGGCACAUCGACGGCAGCCACGGUCAUGGAUGGCCUCCACGUCAUCCCACAACGUUGUAAAGACGUCUCCCAUGUUGCCCUAGGUCCCUUCCUCCCUUUCCCCUCUCUCCCUUCGCUUCGGUGGCGUGUAGCUGACGCACACUAGCACAAUCACUGACAUCGUUCAUCGAACUGUGGCCAUGAGCUCUCCCGCGUGAGGAAUCGAGCCGAGAAUCCCGAAGCGCAACGCACUCGACCUCUCUUCCUCGUCAUAGUCGCUGACACCAACCAUCAAUCUCGUCACCAAACAAUCUUAAAAAAAUGAUUUAGUUAGUUAUUAUAAAAUGUCUCCUUAAUAUACUUGUAUAACUACGAUUGCUUAACACGAAUGGAAAGCACUACCGUGGUUGUGGUUGCCACAACUAGAACGAACGCGGGUACAUCCAAGGGAAGUGAAUCGUGACGAGCACAUGUUUCACUCUAGCAAAUACAACAAGGACAUAGGACAGAAAGGUGGCAGUAUAGUAAGGGCAUAUGCAAGAAAAGAGGCUGAAAUGGCGUGGUGAGAGAUUAAUCUAGUUGAUGAGAAAGGAGAACUUCGAGAGGCAGAGCAUGCUGAUCAGGAGACAAGGCGAGCCUGACAUGCAUUGUGCACGACAAGGAAUCACUUUCACAUCUUAGAGGCUUCAUUCAGCAUGUGUGUUCCGAGUUUUCUGCUGAAAUAGGCAUCCUGCAUAGCCAGUACUUUACUAAAACCUCCCACACCCAUGCCUACACUUUGGACCCCCUCUAUCCCUCAAUGGCUUGACUUGCACUUGUCACAUUGUUCUCCUUCUCUUGGCCCUAUCAAUCCAACACCGGUUAUAAGCUUUAUAUGCAGCCACCUACACUAUAGCAAUUAAUGCAAUCCAACAUAAGUUGGCAAGAAGGUUGCUUCACUUUUCAAACUAGAAAAUAUCGAAUGAGUUCGUGGGCCAUGUAUCACCCGCGGUAACCUACUCGAGUCAAGUAUAGUACAUCAUCGCUAUCUCUCUUUCCUCGCUGGAAGUGGCAACUACGCUCAACAAAGUGAACACAUAACAAGUAGUCAUAUGCUCAUAUAUCAAAUAUACGCUCAAUAGUAAAUGCCUAUGAUUUAAUAUGUUUUGGAUAUCCUUGGUCCCAUUCAAUUCAUGAGAUGUCUUACCUAUUGCAUUACUAUUUUACUUCAUUUAUGUAAACAUUGCAAACCUGAGACCAUCAAUCUGAAUAUGCUCACCUACCACUUCCUCUUUGGGGCACUUUCCACUAUUUUUUAGAAACUUCUAAUCUAUUCAUCUCUAAUCAUGGUAGUAAAAAGGACACCAGAGGUAAUAAAAAAUACAACUAGGUCCGUGGACCACCUAGCGACGACUACAAGCACUGGAGCGAGCCGAUAGCAGUUAUUGGAUCUCCAUUUCAAAAUAUAGUGCAUAUAUACAUCUUUAAAAUGCAAGAGAUUUGUUCUUCAAUGAAUUGAACAUAGAGGCAACAGUUCCAUAAUAAUUACAUCUGGUUGCAUUUGAUCUAGAUGCAUGUUAGCACUAUUUUUUUUACCAAACCAUUUCCUUCAAACGCCCAGCUUCUCAAAAACCUGAGACCAAGUAGUAUAACACAGAUACCACAAACACAACACGUUAUGAACUGGGAAUUUUGUUUCUAAAAAAACUGGCUAUACUAAAAUAGUCUGCUCUUGGAGCUAGGAACCUGGCAUGCCCAUGUUAGUUUGAACUGCCUCACAAAAAAAUGUUGGUUUAAACUAGAUGCUUUUUCUUAUCUCAUAGCGAAACAAAAUGAUGUGCAAAACUCCCUCAUGUUCUCUUCUUUUCAUAGCUCAAACCAUAACUACAAAAUAUAUAGAAAUUUGGAACAAGAACUUAGUUGGUUGUGCCAAACUACCGUAUGUCAAAAAAAAUGUUACAUGCAUCUUCCAGAGUGCCCAGGUUGGCAAAGAGCACUCAGAUUAGUCCUAAAAGCACAUGCUAUAGUUCAAUGAAGUUCACAACAACUUCUACACCCUAUGUCUUGUGGUCUGCGGGUAGUCACCCUGUGCAGCGUGGGUUGCGAGUAGCUGGGUCGUGCGGCGUUGUACCUCGUGGGUGAGCAGUGGUAUGUCUGGGUGGAGGCCCCUGAAGGUGGUGUUGGCUGAUUGCACGGGACGGAAUGGAGUGAUGGAUGUCGGGGCGGCGACUUCGACAUUUGGUAGCUUCGAGGGCUUUUGACUUCGUGUCGUGUGGCCGACGAGGUUGCCAUUGAUGUUGGUCGUCGGCAAUAUGCCAGAUUAUGCAAUUGGCGUAGGACCCAUGGAGUGCAAGCCCUUCAUUUCUGUGGGAGAGUCCCAUCACUACUCCUCUCAUAGUAGUCACAAAUUCUUCUUUCCGACAAUGGUGCAAGGUUGGCUUGUUCGGCGGAGCAGGGGUUCCCGUUGCUUAUGUAUGUGCGGUGGGUGUUCUUGUGCCAUUCGGCAUUUUAUCGACAAGAGUGGUUUGACAUCGUGUGCUUUGGUGUUCCAGAGUGGACUUGGCCCUUGAUGUAUCAGUUUUCACCCGGUUUUCUCCUAAUUAAUUGGACAUUUCUCUUCUGCUUAAUGGACGAGGCAAAUCUUUUGCCUUCAUUUAAAAAAACCCUCCACACUUUCUAGGUUCCAAUUCUAGGAAGAUGUUCUAGGAAAACAAGGCCCCUCUUUGGAUAUGGCUGCAAUCGCUACAAUAACAACACGUCUACACCCAAGUCCACAUCUAAAACAUGAGGGCACACGCUAUGACUCUGCUUCCACAUAUAUCUGUUUAGUGUUUACCCGACAGCACGACCGUGUUACAGACCGUGGUGAUUCCUCGGGGACAAAGAGCGAUGAUCCAUGCAUGCGGCAUGGAAUUCUCCAACCAUUGAUGUUGGUGACCGCACGUCGAGGCGAUUUCUCCACGAGCCUAGCUGGCUGGGUGAAAAUCCUGUCGCUGUCUGGUGCGCGUCCCGGAGCUAGCUAGUACAAACACCGAAACGUGGAAAUGGAGGAAGUUGCCAUGGUUUGGUGGGUGCGUCCUACAGGUCGAGGACUCCAUGAUUUGUAUUUUGCGGGUCAUGAAAUUUCUUUUUGUGCGAACAUGUUCAACAAAAUUCCUUAUAUAUUUCUCCAUUCUUGGUCUCAAGGGUGAGUUCCAAGUGGAUUAAACGGGUGUUAUUAGUUUGGUUAGAACAGGAGGCAUCCAAAUCCGACUAAUCUUUGUGCUUGGUUCUAAGUAGUCUCUGCAAAAUGCUAGCUGUAUCCUUAAUUUACUUGUACGUCUACGGUUCCUUAACCAGAUGUUCCUCUAGUGGGUGGAGCAAGUCGUGCAACAAUGCUCUCGCCAUGAAGUCUGAAGCCUUUAUCAUUGAUAACUUUGUGGAGAAUUUCUGGCGCAUGUAGCCUGACAGAAGGAACAGUGUCACUUCAUCCCACUAGUUAACACAUUCAUGCAAAGAGGAACUAGGACAAGUAUUGCGUCUCAAAGAUAACAGGUUGGUCUUCAGAGACACGAUGAGCUCACACUCAUUGGGCGGUUGCACGAGGUCAUGGCUACACGACGCUAACCCGGUUGUCGCAGUGGAACAAAUGGGUACUCGGAAAAUGAAACCGAGACAAGGAGAUAUGUUCCACCCAACAAUGAUAGAGUGCCAUGGAUCAGGGUCGAGGCUAGAAUGAAACGAACGGAUAUCGAUUUGGUUGGGGAGGAAGGCAAACAUGAUCAAAAGGAGCAAGUGUGGCAUAAGACACAACACACAUGACGUGAGUUGUGCACACCAAGGAUCCGCUUCCUUGUCCCAAAGGCUUCAUUCAACCUUUGUGAUCGAUAUUGGUAGGUGGAACAUAUUCCAUUCAUUGCCAACAAUUCACCGAUACCUCCCACACCUAUGGCUACACUUCCUACUAGCUACUUUUCUCGUUGGCAGUUUAGCUCGCCUUUGAUACACUGAUUUUGUUAUCUUUGGCCUAUAGAUCAUAGUAUAGUAGUAGGGGCUUUAUAUGCGGCCAUCUAUAUUGCAGUAAUUAAUGUUAUCCAGUACAAGAUGAGGAGGAGGUUGUUGCACAGGUUGAAGCAAUGACUUCAUAAUUCACCUUAACACGUACAUGUGUAUACAAUGUUGCUAUUUUAAGAGUGCCAUGUAGAAUAAAUCUUGAGGUAAAGAAGAAAAAAAUCAUAAAAAAUUGCAUUCUCUUAAUCAAGAUCUGAACUCUUAGCAAUAAUAUCUCUUAACAUAUAUUUAGCUAUAUGUAGUUUUUUUUCAGGAGUACACCAAAAGUGUACCAUAGUUUUAUAGAUCAUGUGUUUACAGGUAUGAUCAUUCGAUCUACACUUCUCAUCGUCGACAAUGAUUGUUGUUCUCGUCGUGUGAGACCUUAGUACAAUGACUUUUCGACUAUCUAGUAUCUACUACAACUAGAUUUAUUCGACUCCACUGAGGGAGAGCUAUGACGACUAGUUUCCGUGUUUGUAGUCGCUAGGUGGUCCACUGGACCCGACUGUAUUUUUUAUGGAUUCAAUAGGAUGACCUCCCGUAUUGAACGAAAGGUUCUUUGGGAAUCAAUCGUUCAAGCAAACGACAAUGUUCGCUACGAUCAGGUCCAGGCCCCUCCCCCCUCGAUGGCACUACAGAUGGGCCCAAAAAGAAAGCCUGGUUUUGUUGCAUCUAAGCCUUAAACUAGCCUAGUUUUGCUGUGACUAAGCCUUAAAAGAAAAUAAGUUUGUCAAAACUAAAAAUGUCAUGUGUGGAAAUUUAGAAAUUGUCGCUGUGCUUCAUGAGAUGCUGCAAAAAAAGUAAAAAAAAAUGUGAUGAUAAAAAAUGCCAUGGUGUGUUUAAAAGUGCUAUAGUGUACAAAAAAUGAAUAUGCCAUGGUGCUAAAAAUAAAUUUGUCAUUGUUAUGAAAAAGCUUCCAUUUUUUAUUCCCAUGGCAAAAUUAUUACCUAUACCAUGGCAAACUUAUUACAUAUUCCUUACAAAAUUUACCGAUGGUCAUGUAUGUAAUUUGCCAUGUCCUAGAGAACACGAAACCCCCUAAAAAAUGCCAUGUGAUUAGUCGGCCAGUUUUAAAAAAAAAGCUGUAUUAUGAUGAUCAAAUUUCAUUAUAAUGUCAUCUGACUAACCUAAAUAAUAAAACAAAUCUCUAAAACGUGGCAACAUGGAAAAGUUACAAAAACCUGAUCUCCCACAAAUAAAAAGCAAUGUUUUUCGGAGAACCCUACAUGGGAUUGCUAAUUUGCCAUGGUCAAUUGCAGAAAGGAAAAACGCAAAAAAGAAUUACGUAAUAAGUUUGGCAUGGUCUAGUUAAAUAAAUUGUCAUGGCAAAGCUAGUUGUUCUUUGCCAUGCUACAAAAAAAUUGCCAUGGUAAAAAAAUAAAGUAAAAAUAAAAUUGUCAUGAUAGAGAACGAAAAAGAAGAUACCAUGGAUUGUUUAGUAAAAUUUGCCAUGGUUCAUGUAAGCAAAAACUUCCCACAAAAGCGAUGAAAGUAAUUGACGUGUUUCAUAAAGUAAAUUUAUCAUAGUGCAUAAAAGCAAAACUUCCCAUAAGCGAUGAAAGUUACAUUUGCAUGGAUGUGUGAUACAAUAAGAAGUAAAUUUGCCAUAUAUAUGUAAAAAGCAAGUUUGCCAUGGCAAAAUGAAAGAUAAAUUUGCCAUAUAUAUGUAAAAAGUAAGUCUGCCAUGGCAAAAUGAAAGAUAAAUUUGCCAUGGCAAAAUAAAAUAUAAAUUUGCCAUGGCAAAAUAAAAUAUAAAUUUGCCAUGGCUGUAAAGUAAAAUUUGCAAUGCCUAUAAAAGUAAAUUUGCUAUGGCUAUAAAACUAAAUUGACGGUGCUACAAAGUAAAUCUGCCAUGUUCUUAAAAGGCAAAGUGUUAGGAAGAUCAUUUCCGAAAUAACAACUUAGACAUGGUAUUGGUAAAUAGCUAAUUUGCCAUGAUCUACAUGAGUACAUAGUAAGAAUUGCCAUACCGCGGUAGAAAAUGGCUAAUUUGUGAAAGCAUCUUAUGAAAAGCAAAAAAAAGCAUGUUCAUACAGGCUGAACAUGUAAACAUGCAUCUUGCUUAGUUGAUUUAAGUGGCAAUUUACAGAGACCUAUAAGGAGAAAAGCUAAUAUUCAACAAAGUUAUGAAAAGGAUGGCAAAACUGCCUGCCGUUGUACAACAAACACAAAAAGUACACCACAAAAAAUUAUAUUAUUUUUCGAGGUAAAAAAUCAUGUCAGAUGUUCAGAAAAAUGUUAUGAGUGGGAGUGUCCAUGGAAACUCACGUACAUGUAGCAAAAAUACUUAACAAUCCCAUGGCAAAUUAACAAUUAGAUGGGCAUGUGUAAAAAAUUUGGAGACAUGGCAAACUUGAUGGCAUGGGAAAAUUCAAGGGAUCCAUGACAAUUUCAACAAAAUUGCUGCAAAAAUGCAAGGGAGCACAAGAGGUACCCGUGGAUGUGGAUGUUGGGAGGCUUUCGGGUGCGAGCUGAGGUGGCGUAUGUAGGUCCAAUCCGGUGGUGGCGGCGUCGAUCCUUGCCGCGUCGUGCUGCACCCGUGGUGCAGACCUGGCCAAACGGGCCGGCCCGGCACGGCCCGACGUGGCACGUUUAAUAGCCGGGCCGUACCGUGCCGGCCCACGGGCGUGGCUCUCUGGCCCAGGCACGACCUGAUUAUUAAACGGGCCGGCCCGUGGCACGUUUAGCACGCUGGCCCAUCUGAUUUUUAGCCUGUUGGGCUGUAUUUUAGGCCUAUUAGGCUGUAAUUUAGGUCAUAUAUAUAUAUAAAAAAAUCUGAAAAAAUAAAACGGGCCGUGCCGUGCCGGCCCGCGUGCCCAGCCUCCAGGCCCAGGCAUGGCCCAUGGCGUGCCGCGUGCCGGGCCUAGCCCGUUUAGCUCGGGCCGUGCCGUGCCUGGGCCGUGUCGUUCCUGCGUGCUACUGGGCCGACCCAGUUAGCACGACCCGUUUGGCCAGCUAUACCGUGGUGUGAGGCUAGCUGCAUGACCGGUUCGGCCAUGAUGGUGGAGGCUGUGGCGGAGCAACGCAUCGACGGCAGGAGCAGUAGGGCGAGUCGUACUCGACCACACAUAACGUUGCGUCUGCUACUCAUCUUCCGCAUUGCGCCUCACCGAGCAGUGUAGUGUCGGCUCCCCCUUCCGCGUCCGUCUCCACAUUGCGACCACCUUGCACCCGGCCCCCGAUGACUGGGAGCACUGGAUGCAGUUGUUGUUGGAAGAGACCGCAGUGGGCGAGGGAGAACAACCGUAACGGGGAAAGGAAGAAGAGCCAUGGCGUUGCCCUUAGCCGGAGAAGCUCGUGCCAUCUCGAUUUGGAGGUGUAGCACUCGCGUGGACGUUGCCCGCUUCCUGGUUCUUGAGCCCGUUCACCGUCGGCAAGGGCGCGCGACGCCGCCUUGGGUGAGGAGGGAGGUUUCCGCGAUGACGGUUGUUCCCGAUGGGAGGAUGCGGCCAACACAGUUAUUGCAAAAUGCCGGUGGGGAGAAAGAACAACGUGGUGAGAGUGAGCACAAAGAGAUGAAUAGGGGCAUGGGGUUGCGGUCGUUGUGGCAGCAAACUUGCCGUGAGAUUCGUGCUAACGAUUCAAUGGUGAAAAAUGCGUUUCAUCCGUAAUCCUACAAACCGACGUCUUUUUUUAGUGAUUUCGAUUUUUAGUACCUCUAAUAUUCCGUACUGUCUUAUUAUAUCUGAUAGAUUUUUCCGAGGAAAAAGGUAGAGCAGAGCCCCCUAUCUAUACUUGCCCAUGGGCAGCCCGGCCCGGACGGCCCGACCCAACCCGGGCUAUAAAAGCCCGACCGGGCCUUGCCCAUAGGCUAGGCCUGGACCUAGAUUUUGAUCCCGAUGACCGGGCCAGCCCGGGCCCGGGCCCAUCGUUUCUGUAGUUUAAGGAAGAGGCCCGGCCCGAGGCCCGACAAGCUUUUUGCAUGAUGGGCCAGGCUUGGGCCUGAUUUUUAGGCCCGAUGACCGGGCCCGACCGGGCUCAGGCCUAGGUUUUCUCCAUCGGCUUUGGUAGGCCCGGCCGCCCGACGGAUGCCCAGGUAUACCCCUUUGCCCUCUCUCACCGUGCCAACUACUCCAAUCAUACUUGUCUCAAACAAAAAAACUACUCCAAUCAUACGUGAGGGCGCGGAUGCAAAAACACCCCACACCAAUCAUCCACGCGAGGGCGCGGAUGCAAAAACGCCCGCAGUCCAGCCAGUGCCGCUCCGCUCUAUAUAAACGAGCCGAGAGCGGGGGGCGGAAACCCUAAGCAGAGUGGGGAAAGGCGUCUUCGUACUCGCCUCUCUCCGCGCAUCCUAGCCUUCGCCCUCCUCCUUCCCCAUUUCGCCAGCGGCGCAGCCCACCAACCACCCCCACCCGCCGCCAUGAGGGAGUGCAUCUCGAUCCACAUCGGCCAGGCCGGCAUCCAGGUCGGGAACGCGUGCUGGGAGCUCUACUGCCUCGAGCAUGGCAUUCAGGUACGGAUCCAUCCGCUCGCCCCUCCUCCCCCCUUGGCAUGUCGUGUUCAGCGUCGGAUCUGGGGUUUGUAGUGGUUGGUGGUGCGCUCGGUCGGCCGGAUCUGGCGCAGAUCUGACUGCGGCUGGUCAGAUCUGCGGUUGCUCGAAGGGAAAAACCUGGAUCUGACGGAAUGCAGGGUGCAUGCGGUCGAUUCUGUGGGUCGAUCUGGUGUUGUGAAGGGCGCGGCCGGUUCGAAUUUGAAUUUUUAGGUGUGGAUUUACUGGAUCUCAGAUCUGAUGCAGUUCGCACCUGCUAUGGUGGUUGUAUAGGUUUUCCUUGUUCCGGAUAUGACCAGUUUUUCCCGAAACUGAAUCCAUCGGUUUGAAAAGCCACUUGCUAGAUAGAAUGUGAUCUGUAUAUUAUAAUAGGACGCCAGAUGUAUCAUCUGCUCUUGUUAGAACAUCACUGAUCUGGCGCACACUCGUUUUGUUUGAUCUGCUCUGUGCUGUACUGUUUAGAUCUGAUCGAAUUCUGCUAGAUCCGGUGGUAUCUGUUCAUGCAUGUAAUGUAUCCUUGCUGAUGGUUCUGAAAUUCACAUUGCCUGCUGGUAGAGAAAUGCAUCUCUAACUGAUUACCGUACUUAUCUUGUUGCUGCCAGGAUCCUUUUCUUGUCCUGUUGCUACAGAAUUUAGUAUGUUAGCUCUACAGCUUUAACACUGUUUAAUCCCCCCUGUGCAGCCUGAUGGCCAGAUGCCCGGUGACAAGACCGUUGGGGGAGGUGAUGAUGCUUUCAACACCUUCUUCAGCGAGACUGGUGCUGGGAAGCAUGUCCCCCGUGCUGUCUUUGUAGAUCUCGAGCCCACUGUGAUUGAUGAGGUGAGGACUGGUGCUUACCGCCAGCUCUUCCACCCUGAGCAGCUUAUCAGUGGCAAGGAGGAUGCAGCCAACAACUUCGCCCGUGGUCAUUACACCAGUAAGUGCUGUGCUUGUUCUUUGUUAUUAUGACAGUAUUCACUCUUGCUCCUUAUGUGGCUAACUUUUGCUGCUCCUAUUGCAGUUGGCAAGGAGAUUGUUGAUCUGUGCCUUGACCGUAUCAGGAAGCUUUCAGACAACUGCACUGGUCUCCAGGGAUUCCUUGUAUUCAACGCUGUUGGAGGUGGAACUGGCUCUGGCCUUGGCUCGCUUCUCCUGGAGCGCCUCUCUGUUGACUAUGGAAAGAAGUCCAAGCUUGGGUUCACGGUGUACCCAUCUCCCCAGGUCUCCACCUCUGUUGUUGAGCCAUACAACAGUGUCCUGUCCACCCACUCACUCCUUGAGCACACUGAUGUCUCUAUCCUUCUUGACAAUGAGGCCAUCUAUGACAUCUGCCGCCGCUCCCUUGACAUUGAGCGCCCAACAUACACCAACCUCAACAGGCUUGUUUCUCAGGUACAGUCUUGUUUCUGCAUGGUUACAUGUUUUCUGUUUGAUGUUUGUUUCAAGUUGCACUUCCUAAUAAUGUUUGACUGGGAUCUAAUUCAUUGGUUAAACAUCUAAUGUGCAGGUCAUUUCAUCACUGACAGCUUCCCUGAGGUUUGAUGGUGCUCUGAAUGUUGAUGUCAAUGAAUUCCAGACCAACUUGGUGCCCUACCCGAGGAUCCACUUCAUGCUUUCCUCCUAUGCCCCAGUGAUCUCAGCUGAGAAGGCUUACCAUGAGCAGCUGUCCGUUGCUGAGAUCACCAACAGCGCCUUUGAGCCUUCGUCCAUGAUGGCCAAGUGCGACCCCCGCCACGGCAAGUACAUGGCCUGCUGUCUCAUGUACCGUGGUGAUGUUGUGCCAAAGGACGUCAACGCUGCUGUGGCCACCAUCAAGACCAAGCGCACUAUUCAGUUUGUUGACUGGUGCCCCACUGGCUUCAAGUGUGGUAUCAACUACCAGCCACCAGGUGUCGUCCCAGGCGGUGACCUUGCCAAGGUCCAGAGGGCUGUGUGCAUGAUCUCCAACUCCACCAGUGUCGUCGAGGUCUUCUCCCGCAUCGACCACAAGUUUGACCUGAUGUACGCCAAGCGUGCCUUCGUCCACUGGUACGUCGGUGAGGGCAUGGAGGAGGGAGAGUUCUCUGAGGCCCGUGAGGAUCUCGCUGCCCUGGAGAAGGACUAUGAAGAAGUUGGUGCUGAGUUCGACGAGGGUGAGGACGGUGAUGAGGGCGAUGAGUAUUAAGCCUGCCUCCUGGUGCUUUCCCAAGGCUUGCUACUGCUAUCCUAUGAUCUGCCCGAGUGGCUUUAUCUGUUAUCUGUCUGUUUGAACGUUUGCUUUGUGGUGUUUGUUUUACAACCUGUUGUGUUGUAAGAACCUUGUAUCUUUGAACCUGCUUUGCACCUUGGUUAAUAUGCAUGCUAUCUGGUUAUCUACACCAUAGCCUCCAUUUUCCUGUUUUAUAAUUUGUAUUGUUUCAUUUGUUUUACUGUUGAACUCUGCCUAUUGUCUCAACAUAGCCGGUCUGAAGCCCGAGUGAAGGAGUAUGGUUGAGAGGCUUGGUGAGCCGUUGUUAAAACUCAGCCACUUUAUGCAGUUGAAACCCAAAAGCCCUAGCCGAACUUGUUAAACUCGGCCACUCUUAUGCAGAUUAAACCCAACAGAUCGCCUACCCCAAAUUAGUUGCAAUGUGUCUGCGUAAUGAUGAUCGAACCUAAUUUGAAAUGCUGUUGCUUCCAGUAAGUGCCACGCUUGUACAAACCUAGAGUUUGAACUGGAAUUGAGGAAAUGUUUGUCGUGUUGCCUAUUUUACAGGUGCCUGAAGUUUCUCCUAUAUCAUCACCGACCUAAUUUGAUCUUCAGGAUUAAAAGAUUCAGUAGUAGCCACAAGCUUAAAAAGAUUCAGUAGUAGCCACAAGCUUAAAAAGCAGCAAGUAUAAAUCACAGGCAAGAAAUAUACAAGACCUAUAUAGUUUUGCAAGUUCGUAAAUUGCUUGUUUUCUGAUCGACCAUAUCAGACUUAACUCAGAUCUGUACUCUAUUCUUUAGAUAGAUGGCAAGAGAAUAUGAUAUGCUGGUGAAGUAUGUCCAAAUAACAUGGUUCAGUGUUCAAGCACGAAGCCAGUCUCCAUCAGGGGGUGUAUCUGUAGAAGAUUUGCAUUAUCAGUUUGGGUCCCAAUAAUUUCUAUUAACACCAAGCAAUCCCCACACCGCUAGAGCUGCAGCUCCCACCGGCGUCAAACCCCCAAUUAUUGCCCCGGCGACGCGAGUUACGGCGGCCAGCGGAGUGCAGACGGGCGUACGGUGGCGUGCGCCCGUCGGGGAAGAGUCCCGUUGCUCCCCUGUCCAUGCUUCCCCACACGACACCACUCCCCGGCGCUGAGCAGGAACGCCGACCAGGCGGAGGACCUGCUGGAUGAGCUCCACUAUUUCCAGAUCCAUGACAGGCACCACGCCACCACCCAGGCCAAUUUUCUCCGUCAUGGCCGCAAUGCUCUCCGGCACACUGCCACUAGCUGGGCCGCGUGCUUUUCUUGUCCGUCUGCCCAAGAUCAUGAUGACAAGUUACGUUUCCACCCAGUGAUCUUCUCCAGGAAAAUCAAGUCGGUGUUACAGGACAUGCAGACCCACUGUGAUUCCAUCUCCGAUUUGCUUGGCAAUAUCCCAAGCAGCAGCAUGGCAGUCACCCUGCACCGGCCUCAGAUUGGAUCCACAAUUAUACAAGAUACAUUAUAUGGUAGGAGACACACUUUUGAGGAAACUGUCAACCGUGUCAUCAGCUGCGAAGAUACUGUUUCUGUUCUUCCUAUAGUUGGUCCGGGGGUAUUGGAAAAACAACUUUCACUCAACACCUCUAUAAUGAUGCAAGGCUGUAUAGUGAUACUGGGGGUGAAAAUUAUUUUGAAGUCAGGGUCUGGGUAUGUGUAUCGACUGAAUUCGAUGUGCUUAAGCUCACCAGGGAGAUCCUUGGCUGCAUACCUGAACAAGAAGGAAUCAACGGUGUUGCAAAUGAAACAACCAAUUUAGACCAGCUUCAGAAAUCCAUAGCACACCGUCUCAAGUCCAAAAGGUUUCUAAUUGUCUUGGAUGAUAUAUGGAAAUGUGACGGUCAGGAUCAGUGGAAGACCCUGCUAGCUCCGUUCACAAAGGGGGAAACCAAAGGAAGCAUGGUAAUUGUCACAACUCGAUUCCCAAAGGUAGCAGACAUGGUGAAAACACUUGAUCCACUAGAGCUGCGAGGUUUGGAGUCUAAUGACUUCUUCACAUUCUUUGAAGCAUGUAUAUUUGGUGAUCACAAGCCUGAGCAUUACGAAUAUGAGUUAGCUGAUAUUGCAGGAAAAAUUGCAAAUAAGCUAAAGGGUUCCCCACUAGCAGCCAAAACAGUUGGUGGACUAUUGCGCAAGGACCUAUCUCAGGAACAUUGGAAUGAAGUUCUUAAAAAACAUGAGUGGCUGAAGCAGCAAAAUAAUGAUGAGAUCAUGCCAUCUUUAAAAAUUAGCUACGAUUAGCUCCCUUCUGAGCAGAUAAGCUAAAGGUUCCCCAGUCGCCGCCGAACCCCCUCGCCGUCCAAGCCGACGGGAGGGGAUAUGGGCGACGCCCUCCCUCCCCUGGCCCCCUGAUACACUCCCACUCACCUCCCUCACUCCUCUCCAAUCCUCCCUCGUCCUCUCCGUCGAGGGGGAGAAGCCCCGAGCCCACUAUCGUUGCCCGCCGCCGUCCACCGCGGCGACCGCUCCCUUGUGCUCCUCCGGCUGGUCCAACACCUCUGUCGUCAUCCGCCGCUACUGCUACGUCAACUCGCCCGAGCCGAGGAGCCUCCCAACGCCGGAUCGCCCCGCCUUUCUCCCUCGGAUCGACGCCGGCGACCUCCUCCCACUCCGGUCGGCAUGCGGCUCCUAAACUGUCACUGGGCCUACGUGUGCCUCCUCGGUGAGCUCCGCGUGUUUCCCCUCUACCUCCCCUUCGCCUUGUUGCCUCUAGCUGCCCCUGCCACCAUGCCCGGAGCUCCGCUCCACCGACCAUGUCGCGCCCGCAGCUUCGGCCAUUGAAACCCGCGUCCGAGCGUGUCACCGAGUUCUUUGGGUCCCCAAGAACGCGUAGCGCUUGCUCUUUCACCGAGCCAUGUAGUGUAGCGUCAUCACCGUUCGCGCGUGCUUCGGCCGCCGCUCGGCCUUGCUGCUGUCACCGAUUCUGGCCGUGUCCGGUGCAGGCGCUUGCGUAGAUUGACGCGGCCCGGCGCGCUCAGCUCGCCCUGCUCCGUUUGCUCGCCUGUGCGGCGAUCCUGAGCGUCGCUGCCAUCUCGGGUGGUCGCCGAGACCACCAGCGGGCGUCCGGCGUCCAAAACCGACGAUGGGUCACUGCCAUGUGGGCCCCACUCGUCGGGGUUUAUAUUAGGGUGCUAACUGAGGGAGUCCUGGACUAAGGGGUCCUCGGGCGUCCGGCCUGUUAUCUGUUGGGCCGAACUGAUGGGCUAUGAAGACAUGAAGGCCGAAGACUAUACCCGUGUCUGGAUUGGACUCUACUUGGCGUGGAAGGCAAGCUAGGCGACCGAUUAUGAAGAUUUCCUCCUAUGUAAUCGACUCCAUGUAACCCCAGAUCUCUCCGGUGUCUAUAUAAACCGGAGGGCAUAGUCCGGAUAGGACAGAUUCAUUACCAUAUACUCAUAGGCUAGACUUCUAGGGUUUAGCCAUUACGAUCUCGUGGUAGAUCAACUCUUGUAACACUCAUAUUCAUCAAGAUCAAUCAAGCAGGAAGUAGGGUAUUACCUCCAUAGAGAGGGCCCGAACCUGGGUAAACAUUGUGUCCCCCGUCUCCUGUUACCAUCGAUCCUAGACGCACAGUUCGGGACGCCCUACCCGAGAUCCGCCGGUUUUGACACCGACAUUGGUGCUUCAUUGAGAGUUCCACUGUGCCGUUGACGAAAGGCUCGAUGGCCCCUUCAAUCGUUGGUAAUGGCGUCGUUCAGGGAGAAACCUUUCUCCCCGGACAAAUCUUUGUGUUCGGCGGCUUCGUACUACGGGCCAACUCGCUUGGCCAUUUGGAGCAGGUCGAUAGCUACGCCCCUGGCCAUCAGGUCAGUUUUGGAAGCUUGAACUACGUCGCGGAUAUCCGUGGAGACUUGAUCUUCGAUGGAUUUGGGACCGCGACGAUCGCUCUCCUUCUCUCCGAUGAACAUGACUCAAAUCUGUCAUCGGAGCACACCCAGGAGAUGGAUCCUGUUGCUGCAACGGCCUCAAUACCGAAGCAGGUCAUCCCCUCCGAGGCCAUAAAUUCCGCGGCGUUGGAGCCGCACACGGAUUCGACAUCCUGCAAUGCUGGCAUUAAUGGAACUCCGGACUCGCCUCCGGCUACAUGUUCCAGAUCAAGUGCGCCUGCGGACAUCGAGCUGGAUCGGUUAUCAAUUUUCGAAUUUAGCGCCGCAGACAUCUUUCAGCAUUCGCCUUUGGGUGACGUACUAAAUUCUUUGAAGAACUUGUCCUUGGAGGAAGACUCACAGCCGAACUAUGUUCGGUUCGAGCUAGAGGCGGACGACGAGGAAUUUUGCUACCCACCCGCCACCCACUUUAUAGCCACCGUCGACGACUUAACCGACGUGCUUGACCAUGGCUCCGAAGACAUCACCGGUAUGGACGACGAUGCUAAGGCCAAGACCCGCCAUUCACUGGACGUUGGACGGCCACCUCUUCGUACGACGUAUACAUGGUUGAUACACCCAAAGGAUCUGGCGACGACAAAGAAGAGCCAGAUAAUAAUAAACCUUCUGAGACGCAGUCCAAGCGCCGGCGCCCCAAACGCCGUUCUAAGCCUCACCGCUCAAAAGAUAGCAACACUGGUACCGGAGAAAAUAGUACUCCGGGCGACGCCGAAAACAAUGAAGACCCUGUCGGUGCUACAUCCGGACAGGAGGAACAUGACGACAGACAAGACAACCCUGAUGAGCAGGCCAUAGAAGAUGACUCGGGGGACGAUAGUUACCGUCCACCCUCCAAAGAGGAGACAAGCCUCGGCAACGAAGAUUUCAUCGUGCCUGAGGACCCUCUGGAGCAGGAGCGCUUUAAGCUUGAACUCAUAGCCACCGCAAGGAGCCUGAAAAAGAAACAGCAGCAACUUCAAGCUGAACAAGAUCUGCUCGUCGACAGAUGGACUGACGUCCUGACAGCGGAAGAAUACGACCUCAAGCACCCAGCCAAGAGCUACCCGAAAUGCAGACUGCUACCUCAAUUCGAUGAGGAGGCACCGGAGCACACAUCUCCCCCGCGUAAUGCGGAACGACCACGACGUGGUCGAGACAGGGUGGCCGACCGGCCACCAUGCGGUCGGGAUAAGCGGCAACUCAGGCUGAACAGCAGCCUGCCCAACCGCCCCGCAAAAAUAAAGACGGAAGAGUUCGGGGUCACACGUAUGACCUCCGGCAGACCCUGGACAGUAGAGUAGGACAUACAAGAUCGAUCUACGGAUCGCGAGAACGUGCCUCGAGGCACGAAGACGGCCACCUAUUCGGACGUGACAAACCUAACAAUGCCCGGUCCGAGCGCCGCAGCGACACAGCCUGGUAUAGAGGUGCCGCACACCCUCUCUGCUUCACAGACGAGGUACUGGAUCACGAAUUUUCUGAGGGAUUCAAGCCCGUCAAUAUCGAAUCAUACGACGGCACAACCGAUCCCGCAGUAUGGAUCGAGGAUUUCAUUCUCCAUAUUCAUAUGGCUCGAGGAGAUGACCUCCACGCCAUUAAAUACCUCCCACUCAAGCUCAAAGGGCCAACUCGGCACUGGCUUAACAGCCUGCCUGAAAAUUCUAUCGGCAGCUGGGAGGACUUGGAAGAAGCUUUCCUAGACAACUUCCAAGGAACCUAUGUCCGUCCACCAGAUGCCGAUGACUUAAGCCACAUAGUUCAACAACCCGGAGAAUCAGCCAGAAAAUUCUGGACUAGGUUCCUAACCAAAAAGAACCAGAUCGUCGACUAUCUGGAUGCCGAAGCCCUAGCGGCCUUUAAGCAUAGUAUCCGGGAUGAAUGGCUCGCCCGCCACCUCGGCCAAGAAAAACCGAGGUCGAUGGCAGCCCUGACGGCACUUAUGACCCGCUUUUGCGCGGGAGAAGAUAGUUGGCUGGCCCGCAGUACAAAUACGGCCAACGAAAUAAGUCCCUCCGAGGCCAAAAAUAGCGUCGGCAAGCUCCGGCGCAACAGAAACAAACGCCGAGGCAAUGGCGAUAACACCGAUGACACAACAGUUCACGCCGGAUUCAGUGGCUCUAAGUCCGGCCAACGAAAGAAGCCCUAUAAAAGGAGCAGCGGAAAACCAUCCAGCUUGGACCGCAUACUCGAUCGUCCUUGCCAAAUACAUGGUACCCCAGACAAACCAGCCAACCAUACUAACAGGGAUUGACGGGUCUUCAAACAAGCCAGCAAAGUAAAUAACAGAAGCAAAGAAGGGGAAUCACAGAGCGAAGACGACGACGAAGAGCCCCGGCAGCCGAACACUGGGGGGCAGAAGAAAUUCUCCCCCAAAUCAAAAUGGUGAACAUGAUAUACGCUACACACAUCCCCAAAAGGGAGCACAAGCGAGCACUCAGGGACGUCUACCCGAAGUUCAAUCCGCGGUCAUCAUUCCCGAUCACCCCCGCUCGAUGAGACCACCCAACUAGCAUCUGGCAUGGCGGUUCAGCCGCACUGGUCCUCGAUCCAAUCAUCGACGGAUUUCACCUGACUCGAGUCCUAAUGGACGGCGGUAGCAGUCUCAACCUGCUCUAUCAGGACACAGUACGUAAAAUGAGCAUUGACCCUUCACGAGUCAAGCCCACGAAGACUACCUUUAAAGGAGUCAUACCAGGUGUAGAGGCCCGUUGUACGGGCUCAAUAACGCUGGAAGUAGUAUUCGGUUCCCCGGAUAACUUCCGAAGCGAAGAGCUAACCUUCAAUAUCGUCCCAUUUCGCAGCGGCUAUCACGCACUGCUCGGACGAACCGUAUUCGCUAGAUUCAACGUGGUGCCACAUUAUGCUUAUCUCAAGCUCAAGAUGCCCGGUCCACGUGGCGUCAUUACAGUAAAUGGAAACACGGAACGCUCCCUCCGUACAAAGGAGCACACUAUCGCCCUAGCAGCAGAAGUACAGCGUGGCCUUCUCAAGCAGCACUACAAUCCGGUUGCCGAGCCCCUGGACACCAUUAAGAGGGUCCGGACUAUACCGCAGCAGGACAACCCGGCUCGUCAAAGGGCCAAACUAGCAAAAUUCGGCCUCCGUCCAAGCCCAGACGAGGCAAUGGUAUUAGUACCGCGAGCACAUAAGCUACGCACUCAUGGGUACUGACGGAGGCAAAACUCGCUCGCAAUCCACAGUAUGGCUUGAUAGACCAUGGGAUUCGCAUGCUUCUGCUUUUUCUUUGUACAUGUCUUCUUCUCUUUUCAAGGGCUAUACGGACGACCUGCCUGCAGAACACUCCAAGGAAGCAAGGAGCUCCGGCGUACACAAGAACCCCCAGGUGGUUUCUAAUAAACGAUUCAUCUACUUGUUUUACAUACCCGCAUGCAGCUCGCCCUUGGUUACGGCAUUUUCAAUAGCCUUACUUGCUUAUCACAUUACUGGUACAAAGUACGCCUUGACGUACCGAUUACAUAACAACGGUGAAUAAAUAGUGGCGUCCGCUCACUCACCUCAGUAUUUAUUACUCACUGCACACGUACACCAUGGUACGCACUAAUACGCCAGGGGCUUAAGUACACCCCACAUCACGGCAAUAAAAGUCCGAACACUUUUACAGUACAGUUCGGCACCCCGAACUUAUAGCAUUAUAUGCAUCGGCUCCGAAUCAUGUCUUUGGUCAAUAGUUGGGUUGCCCGGCUCCUGUGCUUACUACGUUCCGCUAUAUCGGCUAGGGCAGUAAAGGGAGAACUACUGCGAUUGUGUCCCGGUUCUUCCGGACGAGCACCUCAGUAGAGAAAGCCAAAAACUGACAGUCAUGAUGCGGCGAGAGCCGGUCAGCUGUUCGCGAGGUUCUAAAUUGUUGGAGAUUUUUCCCGCUUCUUGCGAAGAAUCGGUUCUUUCAAUUAGGCGUGUAUAGCGCCCCUAAUUCGGCCUUUCGAACACCAGGGGCUUCGCCGACUUUAUUAAUUGUCAAACUCCUAUGGCUAAGUGGGGGCGGUAAAGGCCGCAUAGUCUGAUUGCCUUGUUCGCUGCGCUAAACACCUCCUUUAAGGACCAUAAUGUGGAGUAAAGAGUGUUUAGAUUUAUCCCGAACACCCCCGUACUAUCUACGUGGGGGCAGAAGCCAACGACUGGUCAUCCCUCAGAUUUAACAAACGGCCGCACAUGAGGUAAAAUUUAAAAAUCACAUACAUUAUACUACAUAACAUCCUUGUUCCAUAUUACAGGGCAAGAUAAUACACAUGUUCUUACGGGAAUAUAAUAUCCUUCGAACAUUUCUCCGCCGCAAGGCGGGACCCCUCCAGGACACCAUCAAAAUAAUGCUCGGGUCAACGAUGCUCCUUGCCCUCUGGCGGUCCCUCGGUCAUCAGCUUCUUGGCAUCCAACUUCGCCCAAUGCGUCUCGACGUGGGCAAAGGCCAUGCGCGCACCUUCAAUGCAGACCGACCGCUUUACGGCUUCGAGCCGCGGACAGGUUCUCACAAGCCGCUGCACAAGUCCGAAGUAGCUGCCAGGCAUUGGAUCGGCAGGCCACAACCGGACUAUAAAGUCCCUCAUGGCUAGCUCCGCCAACCUGUGCAGCUCGACCAACUGCUUUAGCUGGUCGCUGAAGGGCACCGGAUGUUCGGAUCCCAGAUAUUGGGACCAGAACAGUUCUCCGUAGACAUCCCUUCCUCGGCUCUAUAAUGCUCGGUCGCAUCCGACGCACUGUGCGGCAGACCUGCAAAUGCCCCUGGAAAACCAAAAUUAAGGAUAAGUACAAGGGACGUUGCUUCUACACGCCCACUCUGCAUGGUGAAGAACUUACCCGCCGCAAUCUUCUUGGCCAUCUCGACUUCCUGGAGGGCGCACUGGGCUUCGGCUCGCGCAUCCUGAGCACUCUGGCGAGCCUUCAUCAAUUCGGACUCUUGCGCCUUACAAUCGCGCUCCAGGGCCUCAAAUCUCUCUAUCGCGCCCUGGAGCUGUCGCUGCACCUCGCCAACCCGGGCCUCGUGCUUUUCGCGCAAAACACGCUCUUUGGCCGCUUUGUCCUCGGCCUCGGCUAGCACCUUCUUCAGGGUUGCCACCUCGACCGUGGCCCCUAAUAAAGUUUACGACGUUUUAGACAAGUCGGACUACUCAUUUUUUUUCAAAAUGUACCUACAGGUUAUUGCAUACCUUGGCUGUCCUCCAACUGCUUCUUCACAUGGUCGAGCUCCUCCUCGGCCCGCUCUAGUUUCUUCUUUAGUCCUGAGACCUCCGCAGCAUGAGCAGUGGCAGCUUGUAGGGAUACCUGCAUAUUCACAUAGACAACUCACGUUAGACUCCUGCAAUUUUUUGAUCCUCUGUUCGGCCUUUUCUUCCCGAACACCAAACAGAGUAUCAGGGGCUACUGUCUACACUGUGAUACUUUUCCUACAAUCACAUUACUUACCUCAAAGCCUAUUAGAAGGCUAGUGCAGGCUUCGGUCAGUCCGCUUUUAACGAACUGAACCUUCUCUACUACCGUGUCCAUAAGGACACGAUGUUCAUCCACGAUAGAGGCGCCUCAUAGCGCCUCCAGCAGAUUGUCCGGUGCCUCUGGCUGGACAGAGGUCACCGGUGGAACAGGCACACUCCCUCCUAGCGGGGAGUGCCGUUCGCUGGACCCCGGAGCCGUGUACAUCUCCGGAAGGGUAUCCAGCUGAGGGCCGAAGGAAACUCGGGCCCCAUCACCAGUCCCCAUGGGGGCUUUUUCCCCCAUGUGCCCGGCGUCCGAGGAGUCGUCCUGGGGCGUCACCCCGAUGAUCUCCGGAACCUCCCCCCGGCCUGGGAAAGUCUUUUUGGACACCACCUCGUCAUCACCCUUGGGUGAGAGGGAAUGAGCAGGUGGCGGAGACAUGCUAGCCAUCUCCUCCGUGUUUAGCGAAUCCUCAGUCGAGGAUCGCGGAGAGCCAUCGCGUGCCGGACUGCAAGGACAAAAUUUACAAUAUGUCAAUAUCACAAACCAGAAAGGCCAGAUAUUUGCAAACUCUGAUGCUUACGAAGCGGCCCGAGGCUUGGUCCGGCAAGGCCGUUCCGGACUGCUGUCGACAUCCCAUGCGGAAUUAUCCGCGAGGGAGCCUCUAACCCUCUUAGGCGUUUUAUCCUCUGGGCUUGCGGGGGCCGCUCUCUUCUUCCUCCCCGCCUCAGGUGGGGAGUCGUUUUCUUCUUCCUCUUCAUCGUCGUCGUCAGAGGACGAAGAGGAAGUCUCGCUUCCGGACGUCUCGUCCGGAAUGCUUCUCCGGCGAAGGCCCUUCUGGGCCCCUUGGGCCGCCUUUUUAGCCGUCUUCUCCGACACCUCAUAAGGUGCAGGGAACAACAUCUUCUCCAAUAAUAGAAAUUCCUAGUCCCCGGGUAGCGGAGCUGGACAGUUAAUCUUCUCGGCCAGCUUAAUCCAGGCCUGAAAAUAGGGGAAGGAAGCUUAAAUCUCCCCUCAAAAUAUGCUAGUAGGGGAUACUCCUUGAAAACAUUAAAGGAACUGACCGGGUUGGGCUGGCGCUUUAAGCUAAGCCCGCGGUCUUCGGUCACAGGUGGUGGCGUUUCGCCGGUCUUGAAGAGCACCUUCCAGAUUUCUUCGUGCGUCAUGCCGAAGAGCUCCAGUAGCGUCUGGUGCUUGGCCGGCUCGAACUCCCACAAAUUACAAGUUCGGCGUUAGCACGGAAGGACCCGACGAACAAGCAUGACCUGGACUACGUUGAGAAGCUUGAUCUUAUUUUCUAUCAUGUUCUGGAUGCACGAUUGGAGCCCAGUCAGCUCGACCGAGGGACCCCAGGUUAGGCCCCUCUCUUGCCAGGAGGUGAGCAGCAUCGGGAUUCCGGAUCGGAAUUCGGGGGCCGCCAACCAGUCAGCGUUGCGUGGCUCGGUGAGUAGAACCACCCCGAUUGCCACCCCUUCACCGUCUCUGCAAACAAACCUUCAGGCCAGGUAACAUUGGGCAUCUUGCCCACCAUAGCGCCUCCGCACUCUGCUUGUCGACCGCGCACUACUUUCGGCCUCACAUUAAAGGUCUUCAGCCAUAAGCCGAAGUGAGGCGGGAUGCGGAGAAAGGCCUCACAAACGACGAUAAACGCCGAAAUGUUGAGGAUGAAGUUGGGGGCUAGGUCAUGGAAAUCCAGCCCAUAGUAAAACAUCAACCCGCGGACGAAUGGGUGAAGAGGGAACCCAAGCCCGCAGAUGAAGUGUGCUAGAAACACAACCCUCUCAUGGGGCUCGGGAGUGGGGACGACUUGUCCCUUGGCCGGGAGUCGAUGAACGAUCUCUUUGGCCAGAUACCCGGCCUCCCGGAGCUCCUUGAUAUCCUUCUUCUUGACGGAGGAGGCCAUCCACUUGCUUCCAGCUCCGGAUCCGGACAUCUUUGGAGUACUUUCUCGAGCAAGGGAAAAGCUAAAAGCUUGGGCACUAGAGCUCGAAGAUGGAAGGGCUGAGGGCGUGGGUGAAUGAGAGGAAUCCUUACCUCCUUAUAGAGGCCGCGAAUACCAAGCGCCUCCCCGCUCGCCUUGAACUCGCCUAUUCCCAAGGGCCGUGCAAACGGCGCGGUUAGGUUAGCCAUGCCUACAUUGAUGAGAAUCCCGCAAUAGGGGGGCACGACCUUUGCAUCGACAAGACGUGCCAAUAGCAACCGCGUUUUGAAACAUGGGAUGGCGAAAAAAACGGUUUGAGAUUAUGGCCAGAUAGACAUAAUGUCGUGUUGUAAAAAGCUGUCAGCAGAUGGGACUUGUGUAAACAUAUGUAUAUAUUCUCUCUGCGAUUGUGCAUGGUGUGUAACAGGUCCGGACACAAUCAUCACAUCCGAAGACUAUCUUGGAGUUCGGAAAAGGGGGAACCCGCCUUGCAAUGCCGAAGACAAUCUGCGCGCCGGACUCCUCGUCAUUGAAGCCAGGUUCAGGGGCUACUGAGGGAGUCCUGGUCUAAGGGGUCCUCGGGCGUCCGGCCUGUCAUCUAUUGGGCCGGACUGAUGGGCUAUGAAGACAUGAAGGCCGAAGACUAUACCCGUGUCCGGAUUGGACUCUACUUGGUGUGGAAGGCAAGCUAGGCGAUCGAUUAUGAAGAUUUCCUCCUAUGUAACCGACUCCAUGUAACCCUAGAUCUCUCCAGUGUCUAUAUAAACCGGAGGGCAUAGUCCGGAUAGGACAGAUUCAUUACCAUAUACUCAUAGGCUAGACUUCUAGGGUUUAGCCAUUACGAUCUCGUGGUAGAUCAACUCUUGUAACACUCAUAUUCAUCAAGAUCAAUCAAGCAGGAAGUAGGGUAUUACCUCCAUAGAGAGGGCCCGAACCUGGGUAAACAUUGUGUCCCCCGUCUCCUGUUACCAUCGAUCCUAGACGCACAGUUCGGGACGCCCUACCCGAGAUCCGCCGGUUUUGACAGCGACACUAACCCCUGCCUAACACUAACCCACUCCGUUAACCGCUCACUAAUCCGUGGGCCCACGGCCACUAAUUUAACUCGAGACAAUAUUUCAAUUUAACUAAACCCCCUGUUAAAAUAUGUAUCGCUUACACACGGGCCCCACUGGUUAGUAUUGACCAGUCAACGAUCCUGUUGACUGGACCUGCUGACUCAGAGGCCCCACCAGUCAGCCUCUACUGACUAGGCAGUUGACCCAAUUAACUGGGCCCACUGGUCAGCCUCUCUGCGGGUCAGUUGGGUAUAGUUCUGGGUACACAUAGCAAUUACUGAAUAAACUUCUAAUUAAUAAUAUUUCAGGAAAUUCCAGAAUAUGUUUAAAUCUUUGAAAAAUCAUAUAAAUUAAUCCAUAAGUCAUAUGAAAAUAAUUUAUAUAUGAAAAUUGCUUAGAAAAAUACAACAAAUCUGAAUAUGCAAUCUGUUCAUCUGUCACAUGCCUCUAGCAUGAUGAACAUGGAACCGUCCCCUCUCUUUCAUCUGUCCGGAAAAUGCAAAGCGCCGGGAAAACCCCUCUGGAUGUUUUCCCUCUCCGUCUCCAAUGUGUAGUACUACGUUAGGUCACCCUAGUACUACGUCAGGUCACCCUUGCUUUAUAUUUAUUGUUUCUUCCCCCUCUUCUCUCCGGUAGACACCGAGACCGACGCUGCUGCCGGGUACGACUACGCCCUUGACGUCUAGCCACUUGCAGCAGAGCUUCCAGGCAAGCAAACCCCCCUUGAUCAUUCCCAUAUCGCCCAUUCCAUUCUCUCUUAUGCUUGCAUUCGAUUUUGCUACUAUACUUGAUUGCUCCUAUUCUGAUGCAUAGCCUGCUUUUGUAACCACAUUUGUACCUUACCUGCUAAUCCCAAAUGCUUAGUAUAGGUCGGUUAGUGAUCCAUCAGUGACCCCUCACCUUGUCCCUGUUGCCCCCGCCGUAUUACCAGAUGACACGAUCAACGUGAUCGACGUUCAGGGCCCGACACAUCACCUCACCCCCUUUAGUUGUAUGAUUCUCCCAACACAUCACCUCACCCCCUUUAGUUGUACGACUCUGUAGAGCUAUCGAGUGCCAAGGGUGAUACCUCGUAACGCACUCCAGAUGAUAACUAUGUAGUGUAGCUAAUCGGCCAUGGUCUGUCGAGGGUGAUUCCUCCUUUACCACUCCCGAUACGGCUCUGUCGUGCAACACAUCAAGUGUCAGCCUCGAGGGUGAUUCCUCCUUAGUUCAUCUUGACGGUUACAUCAAAUGGAAUCCAUCGAGGGUGAUUCCUCGGAUUCCUCUUUGGUGCAUGGACACACGGUUACAUGGACUUUACCAUAGAACCAUAUUAAAGAUGGGUCGGCGCAAAGGGGUACCCGCGAGUGAUGUGAAGUCGGGUUGACUUGGAGGGUACCCGCAAGGUAAUUACUAGGCACAGCCGGGUAAGGCAGACCGCCCUGGAGUGGGCUGGGCCUGGCCCUUGUCGUAAGUGCUCAAGACGGGGCAACAGGGGCACUGAUCGUCACCGCGUGCUCCCAAGACACUAACGGUUUGGGUAUUUGAUCUGAGUUGGUCAUUGACCUAUACGCACUAACCGCCACACGGGAACAGUUAUGGGCACUCGGCGCCGUAUGUAUCAGCCGAAGCUCUCCAGAUGUCAGCGGAUGAGCGGCACGCGCUCGGGUGGUCCGCGUAAGCACCUACCUUGUAUAAGGAGGUUGCGAGGACUGAUUCCGGUUGCAUUCGCAAUGUGCAAGAGUGCAACGGGCGAUGGGCCCAAGACCCCUGCGCGCUUAGGAUGUAGAUCGGUAUGCUGGCCUCUCUGUUGAGCCUAGGUAGGGCUACGGCGUGUUGAUCUUCCGAGGCCGGGCAUGACCCUGGAAAGUGUGUCCGGUCAGAGUGAUCGAGUGUGUUGGGUAAUGUGGUGCACGGUAACAGGACGACUCGAAGUUGUGUCCCGAUCUUAAGCCUCGAAAAUGGAUGGCGCUGAAGCGCGCGACCCACACCCGGCCAUCUGGGCGAGCGCCAUGCCCCGAUGAGUAGGAGGGCGUGGCGGCCGCUGCAAAACCCGGGGCGCGAGCCCGGGCGGAGCGGCCGUCGGUGCAGAUCUUGGUGGUAGUAGCAAAUAGAACUGGAUACUGAGAUGUGAAAUGGAUAUGAUGGCUCCAGGAUUGCUUUCUCGCCGGGAGUCGAGAAGGAUCUUUGGGCGCCAAUUCUACAACAUGCAUGCUACUUAUAAUAUGCUAUUCUAUAUUCUUCUAAAUGCAGCAAGAUGCUUGAAGAUGCUAGUCUUUGAUAGGCCAGGCUUUCCCUUCUCUUCUGACAUCUUGUAGUUUAGUCCAAAGAUAUAGCCCCAUUCCUUUGAUACCAAUGCAUACUUAGCAUAGUUCUGAUGUAAGUCUUGCGAGUACUUUGGAUGAGUACUCACGAUUGCUUUGCUACCUCUUUCCCCUAUACCCGAUUCUUGCGAUCAGAUGGCGGAUCCCAGGAACCAACUUCUACCGCCGACGACUACUACUACUACCCCGAGGUACCUACUACUACGUGGAGUCCGCCGAUGACCAGGAGUAGUUAGGAGGCUCCCAGGUAGGAGGCCUUGCCUUUUCGAUCGUUUCUAUUGUUUGUGUUAGCCUUUUUAAGGCAAACUUGUUUACUUUAUGUUUGUACUCAGACAUUGUUGCUUCCGCUGACUUGUUUGUAUUCGAGCCCUCGAGGCCCUUGGCUUAUAAUAUAAAGCUUGUAUGACUUUAUUUUGUGUCUAGAGUUGUGUUGUGAUAUCUUCCCGCGAGUCCCUGAUCUUGAUCAUACACAUUUGCGUGUACAAUUAGUGUACGAUUUAAUCGAGGGCGUCACAGACCGAAUGAUAUAAAAAUAAUAAUAGUGCAAGAGUGUCGUGCACUAAGCUGGAAUCUGCAAAUAUUUUAUUCAAAUGAGAAGACAAAGUAAUAUGGGCUCUUUGUCAGAUCAACAAUAAUGCAUAUAGAGCCACUAAACAUUUUCAUCAUGGUCUUCUCCUCACAAUGACUCAACAAAAGAAAAGAAUUUCAAAGAAACACACUGAAAUAUUUUUGGAGUUAACGAGGGAAAAACAAAAAGAGAAAACUAUUUACACGGGAGUAACAAGUAAAAUAAGAAAUGGGAAAUCUUUUUGGGUUUUCUUUUAAUACUACAACUAAUUAAACUAGAAAGAAAAACCAAAAAGAAGUGAGAACUAUUUUUGGAUUUUCUCAAAGUUUUUCAAACACACAAGAAGAAAGCGUGAAAAUAAAACUAAUAUGGAUUAUACAAUGAAAAAGGAUGAACACCGACAACUGGAAUGAAAUGUGUGAACAUGAAUGUAAUGUCGGUGGGAAAUACGUACUCCCCCAAGCUUAGGCUUUCGCCUAACUUGAUAGUCACCAUCCGUAGUAGCCAUCUGGUCCCAUGUGAAAGUGUUGAGAAGGAGGCACCUGAGUGUCCCAAUCUUGGGGCUCCUCCUCUGCCGCUGCCAAUGCGGUCCGGUAGGCUCGCAGGAUGGUGUAUCCAUUCCUAGCAUGAGAAUCCAACAAAGCAGGUGCGGACAAUGGAAUAAUAUCACGAGUUUCCUCGCUAAAAACCAAGUUAUAACGAAUGUGGUAUAGAAGCACAUGAGCAUCUAUAAAGUGAUGGUUCUCCAUCGACUGGUGAUCUAGAUAAACUCUAGGCAACAAGUAAUCAUGGGGGCGUAUCUGAACAUUAAAACGUCUCGCUAGGCGAGUAACAUAAAUGACACAACGAAUUUUGCCCUUCAUCCUGUUAGUGUGUAGGCGGCUUGCAACGACAGCGCCAAUGCUAUAAGUGUUAUCAUUGUGAAGUGCGUGACAUAAAAUGGCGAGGUCGGGGGCACAUAGUGCGCUAUCUUGCUCUCUAGAAGUCAAGCAUUUCCCUAUGAAUAAAGUAAAGUAGUGCACAAUAGGAAACUGCAAGCUAGUGGCUCGGGCGUGAGACACACCCCUUUCCUCACCCAAAGUUAAAGUGAGGAGGAAGCCCUCAAACUCCUCCAGUCGAGGCUCUUGAAUUUCCCCAUCAGAGGGAAUCAAGCAUAUCUCACAAAAUUCAGUAAGCGGUAUCUGGUGAUGCUCAGUGUAUAAGUCAAAGCGCACCUUAGGGGGUUUGAGCCUAUUCAAGAAAUGAAAGUUUUGCACAAAAGAAUUUGUAAGGAUGUGGUGUUGGUCACGCUCAUCUGCGAGGAAGUCAGUAAGUCUAGCAUUUGCAACGAAUUGCGUGAACUCUUGGUAGAAUCCAGCUUCGUUCAUGAAGGCAAUGUGUGGCCAUUCGCACGGCCGGACCUCCGUCCUACACGGGAUGUUGAUGUCAUUGUCUGAGGAUUCCCCAAGGACUCCCUUGGUAUUCCGCUUCGAGGAACUCCUCUGGAAGAUAUUCAUUUCUCCUACAAACAAAUUUCUGAUUUUUUUGGGCCACAAAAUGAUGUCAACAAAACUUCACAAGAUUGAUAGCAACUACUCAUAUGGAUGUCUAGAGGCUAUAUCAAGCAUUCAAACUACUUGGAACUCAAAGGAUUCAACAUACAAGCUCAUUUUCGGUAGCACCAAGAGCAGCUAACUAUGCAAAAUAUAAUCCACAAAAACAAAAACUAAUUGGAGCAAUGGAGGAGUUACAUACUAAGUAGCAAUCCCCCAAAACAGUUUCGGAAAUGGAGCCCCGAGCAAAGAGAUCGGAAAUCUCAGCUUUGGGAGAAAGAACACGCGAGAGAGAGAGAGCUACCAGGAAUUUUUGCUAGAGGUAAGAGACGAAGUGGGCUGAAGGAAUAAGUGAGGGGUCCCUAUGGGACCCACAAGCCACCUAGGCGCGCCCAGAGGAUGGGCGUGCCCUGGUGCCUCGUGGGCACCUGGGACACCCCCCUGGGAUGUUCUCAAUCCCAAAAAUUCUUAAAUAUUCAGUAAAAUACAUGUAAAAAUUUCAGGUCAUUUUGAGCACUUUCAUUUUUGGGCACUUUUUAUUGAACAUAAUUCAGAAAAGAGGAUAAUCAUGGCAUUUUAUUGCAUUUAACUACAAAUAACAAAAAACAUAAAGUGAGUACUGAUACGUCUCCAACGUAUCUAUAAUUUUUGAUUGUUCCAUGCUAUUAUAUUAUCUGUUUUGGAUGUUUAAUGGGCUUUAAUAUACCUUUUUAUAUUAUUUUUGGGACUAACCUAUUAACCGAAGGCCCAGUGCAAAUUGCUAUUUUUUUGCCUAUUUCAGUGUUUCGCAGAAAAGGAAUAUCAAACGGAGUCCAAACGGAAUGAAACCUUUGGGAGAGUUAUUUUUGGAACAAACGCAAUCCAGGAGACUUGGAGUUGACGUCAAGGAAGCAACGAGGCAGGGAGGUGCGCCCCCACCCUCGUGGGCCCCUCGUGGCUCCACCGACCUACUUCUUUCGCCUAUAUAUACUCAUAGACCCCGAAAACAUCCGAGAGCACCACGAAACCCUAUUUCCACCGCCACAACCUUUUGUACCCGUGAGAUCCCAUCUUGGGGCCUUUUCCGGCGCUCCGCCAAAGGGGGAAUCGAUCACGGAGGGCUUCUACAUCAACACCAUAGCCUCUCCGAUGAUGUGUGAGUAGUUUACCACAGACCUUCGGGUCCAUAGUUAUUUUCUAGAUGACUUCUUCUCUCUCUUUGGAUCUCAAUACAAAGUUCUCCUCGAUUCUCUUGGAGAUCUAUUUGAUGUAAUUCUUUUUGUGGUGUGUUUGUCGAGAUCCAAUGAAUUGUGGGUUUAUGAUCAAGAUUAUCUAUGAACAAUAUUUGAUUCUUCUCUAAAUUCUUUUAUGCAUGAUUUAAUAUCUUUGCAAGUCUCUUCGAAUUAUCAGUUUGGUUUGGCCUACUAGAUUGAUCUUUCUUGCCAUGGGAGAAGUGCUUAGCUUUGGGUUCAAUCUUGCCGUGUCCUUUCCCAGUGACAGCAGGGGCAGCAAGGCACGCAUUGUAUUGUUGCCAUUGAGGAUAAAAAGAUGGGGUUUAUAUCAUAUUGCUUGAGUUUAUCCCUCUACAUCAUGUCAUCUUGCCUAAUGCGUUACUCUGUUCUUAUGAACUUAAUACUCUAGAUGCAUGCUAGAUAGCGGUCGAUGUGUGGAGUAAUAGUAGUAGAUGCAGAAUCGUUUCGGCCUACUUGUCACGGACGUGAUGCCUAUAUACAUGAUCAUGCCUAGAUAUUCUCAUAACUAUGCGCUUUUCUAUCAAUUGCUCAACAGUAAUUUGUUCACCCACCGUAGAAUUUGCUAUCUUGAGAGAAGCCACUAGUGAAACCUAUGGACCCCGGGUCUAUCUUCCAUCAUAUUAAUCUCCCGUCAACUUGCUAUUUCUGCCGCCUUUUAUUUUGCAAUCUUUACUUUCCAAUCUAUAUCAUAAAAAUACCAAAAAUAUUUAUCUUAUUAUCUCUAUUAGAUCUCACUUUUGCAAGUGGCCGUGAAGGGAUUGACAACCCCUUUAUCGCGUUGGUUGCAAGGUUCUUAUUUGUUUGUGCAGGUACGAGGGACUUGCGUGUAGUCUCCUACUGGAUUGAUACCUUGGUUCUCAAAAACUGAGGGAAAUACUUACGCUACUUUGCUGCAUCACCCUUUCCUCUUCAAGGGAAAACCAACGCAUGCUCAAGAGGUAGCAAGUACAGAAGGUUGUGCCUACUAAAUUCAUCGACCACAUGCCUCUAAAAUAGAAUCCAUUAAUAAUUAAGCUUGAUCAAGUCUUAUUAACAAACAAUUUCUGAUUAGCAUGAAACCGAAGAAUCUUCGUAAAACACUAAGUUACCUCAACGGGGAUAUGCAUCUCCCCAAUUAUAAGUGUUUCAUAUUUCUUUUUGACAGUAGGAAGAGGAAUUUGAAAACUUCCAAUAGUAAUUUUCGGAGUCUUUUCAAUAAAAUGAAUACCAUUUACUUGAAAUUGUUUCUUCGAGAAGUGCACCGUAUGUUCAUUACCAUUGAUAUGAAAAGUAAGCUUGCUUUUGUUGCAAUCAAUAACAGCCCUGCAGUAUUCAAAAAGAGUCUACCGAGGAUAAUCGACAUGUUGUCGUCCUCGGGCAUAUCAAGUAUAACAAAGUCUGUUAAGAUAGUAACAUUUGCAACUACAACGGGCACAUCCUGACAAACACCGAUAGGUAUGGCAGUUGAUUUGCCAGCCAUUUGCAAUGAUAUUUCAGUGGGAGUCAGUUUAUUCAAAUCAAGUCUUUUAUAUAAAUAGAAAGGCAUAACACUAACACCAGCUCCUAAAUCACAGAAAGCAGUUUUGACAUAAUUUCUUUUAAUGGAGCAAGUUAUAGUUGGUAUUCCUGGAUCUCCUAGUUUCUUAGGUACUCCAUCCUUAAAAUAAUAGUUUGCAAGCAUGGUGGAGAUUUUAGCUUCAGGUAAUUUUCUUUUAUUAGUGACAAUAUAUUUCAUGUAUUUAGCAUAAGGGGCCAUCUUUAAAAUAUCAGUCAAAUGAGUACGCAAAAAGAUCGGCUUAAGCAUUUCAGCAUAGCGUUCAAAUUCUUCCUCAUCCUUAUUAUUAGAUGGUUUAGGUGGAAAGGGCAUGGGUUUCUGAACCCCUGUUUCUCUUUCUUUACCAUGUUUUCUAGCAACAAAAUCUCUCUUCUCAUAACAUUUGUUUCUAGUAGGUGGGUUAUCAAGAUCAAUAGUAGGCUCUAUUUCAACAUCAUUGUCUGGUUGAGCAUCUACAUGAACAUCAUCAUUGUCAUUAUCUUUAUCACUAGGCGAAUGUUCAUUACUAGAUUGAGUUUCAGCAUCGGAAAUAGAAACAUCAUUAUUUUCCUUAGAAGGUUUUUCUAUCUCAGGUUCCCUAGAAGUAUGCAAAGUCCUAUCAUUUUUCUUUUUCUUUAUAGACAAACUAGGUGCAUUUCAGGAUAAAGUGGCUCCCGAGUCAUUCUACCUCCUCUAGUCAUUACUCUAACAUCAUGAUCAUUCACAUUAUUAUUCAUUUCACUGAGCAACUCAUUUUGAGAUUUAGCAACUUGUUCUAACUGAGUUUGAACCAUAGAAGCAUAUUUACCUACACCUUUGACAUCAUUAACAAUUGUAACAACAAGUCUCUCAAGCGAUCAAUCAUGUAGGCAUUUUGUUUUAAUUGUUUCAUAACAUGUGCAUUGACUAGGAGAUUUAUUAUAGGGGAUAUCACCUUCAUCAAACUUUAUAAGAGAAUUUACCUCUACCACCUGUGGUGGUGUGUCAAGACCAUGUAUUUCUUCAAUAGGUGGUAAAUUCUUAACAUCUUUAGCUUUAAUACAUUUUUCCUUCAUACAUUUCUUUGCUUCUUGCAUAUCUUCAUGACCGAGAAAUAAAAUACCCCUCUUCUUCGGAGUGGGUUUAGGCGGUGGUUCAGGAAGAGUCCAAUGAUACGUGUCCAACGUAUCUAUAAUUUAUGAAGUAUUCAUGCCAUGUUUACAACAAUUCUAUAUGAUUCUGGUAUGAUUUGAUUAGAACAAACCCGGACUGACGUUGUUUUCAGCAGAACUACCGUGGUGUCAUUUUUUGUGCAGAAAUAAAAGUUCUCGGAACGAGCUGAAAAUUUACGUAGAAUAUUUUUGGAAAAUAUAAAAAUACUGGAACGAAAAGAUAUCGUUGAGGAGUCCCGAGGCAACCACAAGGGUGGAGGGCGCGCCCCUGCCUUGUCAUCGCCUCGUGGGCCCCCUUGACUUGUCCCCGAUGCCAACACCUCCUAUAAAUCCCAAAACCUUCAGAAAUAAACCUAGAUCGGGAGUUCCGCCGCCGCAAGCCUCUGUAGCCACGAAAAACCAAUCGGGAGCCUAUUCCGGCACCCUGUCCCGACGCUCUCCAUGACGAUGAGGGAGUAGUUCACCCUCGGGGCUGAGGGUAUGUACCAGUAGCUAUGUGUUUGAUCUCUCUCUCUCUCUCUCUCGCGUUCUUGCUAUGGCACGAUCUUGAUGUACCGCGAGCUUUGUUAUUAUAGUUGGAUCAUAUGGUGUUUCUCCCCCUCGACCUUCUUGUGAUGAAUUGAGUUUUACCUUUGAGGUUUCACUAUUGUCGGACUGAAUACUAUUAUGGAUUUGAGAGCACUUGAUGUAUGUCUUGUGUGGGAUACCCGUGGUGACAAUGGGGUGUUCUAUUGAUUCACUUGAUGUAUGUUUUGGCACUCAACUCGCCGAUUCCCGAGGUGACAUUGGGGUAAUCUAUGCAUAGGGGUUGAUGCACGUUUUCGUCCUUGUUUCUCCGGUAGGAAUCUUGGGGCACUCUUUGAGGUUCUUUAUGUUGGAUUGAAUAUUAUGAAUCUGAAGUUGUUUGAUGCAUAUCGUAUAAUUGACCCACGGAUACUUGUGGUGACAUUGGAGUAUCUAGGUGACAUUAAGGUUGAUUGAUGUGUGUCAUAUGGUGUUAUUUUACUACGAACUCUAGGGCUGUUUGUGACACUUAUAGGAAUAGCUCAAUGGAUUGAUCGGAAAUAAUAACUUUGAGGUGGCUUCGUACCCUACAAGCAAUUUCAUCUUAUGUUCUCCGUGAUAGGAACUUUGGAGUGACUUUUGUCGCACGUUGAGGGAUUGCCAUAUGAUUUAAUUAUGUUAUCAUUGUUGAGAGAACUUGCACUAGUGAAAGUAUGAACCCUAGGCCUUGUUUCCAAGCAUUGCAAUACCGUUUUCGCUCACUUUUGUUACUAGUUACCUUGCUGUUUUUAUAUUUUCAGAUUAUAAAACCUAUAUCUACUAUCCAUAUUAUGCUUGUAUCACCAUCUCUUCGCCGAACUAGUGCACCUAUACAAUAUACCAUUGUAUUGGGUGUGUUGGAGUCACAAGAGACUCUUUGUUAUUUGGUUGCAGGGUUGUUUGAGAGAGACCAUGUUCAUCCUACACCUCCCAUGGAUUGAUAAACCUUAGGUCAUCCACUUGAGGGAAAUUUGCUACCGUCCUACAGAACUCCGCGCUUGGAGGCCCAACACGAGUCUACAAGAAGAAGGUUGCGUAGUAGACAUCAAGCUCUUUUCUGGCGCCGUUGCCGGGGAGGUGAGUGCUUGAAGGUAUAUCUUUAGAUCUUGCAAUCGAAUCUUUUAGUUUAUUAUUUUUAUCACUAGUUUAGUCCAUAAAAGAAAGCUACAAAAAAAUGGAAUUGAGGUUGCCUCAUAUGCUUCAUCUUUUUAAUGUCUUUCGUGAAAAUGAUGGAAAGGAAAAUUGUGCUCAAGUGUUAGAAGAAGAAGUCUAUAAAAUGUUUGGCACUAAAUCUUUGUAUGAUGAGCAUGGUUGCAAUGUUGUUAGUAUGAAUUCUUUGAAUAUCCAUGAUGCUAAUGACACGCAAAGCCACAAGCUUGGGGAUUCUAUGUUUGAUGAAGAUGAUAUUUUUUGUCCCCCCAGUUUUGAUGAGCAAAUUUAUUAUGAUGAUAGCAUGCCUCCUAUUUAUGAUGAUUAUAUUGAUGAAAGUGGGUUUGGAAGAGUGUCAACUCUAGGUAAUGAUACCACUAUUUUGGAGGGUGUUGAAUCUUAUAAUAUUUAUGAAAGUGGAUUUGGAGAGGUCAUGACUUUAUUUAAUGAUGAUUCCACUAUUUCGGAAGAGGUUCCAAUUGAUUAUGAGAACAAAGUUGCUAUCUAUGAUGACUAUUGUGAUGACAUGUAUGCUAUAAAGAAUAGUGAUAACCAUGAAACUUGUCAUCAUGAUUUUAAUUUUCAAUUGGAUUAUGCCUCACAUGAUAGUUAUUUUGUUGAGUUUGCUCCCAGUACUAUUCAUGAGAAUAAAUUUUCUUAUGUGGAGAGUAAUAAAAUUUCUAUGCUUCUGCAUCAUGAAAAUAAUGCUUUAUGUGAUAGUUAUAUUGUUGAAUUCAUUCAUGAUGCUACUAAAAUUAUUAUGAGAGAGGGACAUAUGCUUUUACAUAUUGCAAUAAUAUUAAGUUUCCUCUCUAUGUGUUGAACGUUUUGAAGUUUUGCUUGUUUUACCUUACUAUGCUAGUUGAUUCUUGUUCCCACAAGUUGUUUGCUCACAAAAUCCCUAUGCAUAGGAAGUUGGUUAGACUUAAAUGUGCUAGUCAUAUGCUUCAUGAUGCUCCCAUUAUGUUUCAAUUCUUAUCUUUUAUGUGAGCAUCAUUGAAAUCAUCAUGCCUAGCUAGAAAGGCAUUAAAGAAAAGCGUUUGUUGGGAUACAACCCAACACCAUUACCUACUGUAUUUGUGUGUUCUGAUGAUUAAGCUACUAUGGUAAUCAUGUUUUGUAGCUUUUUGUUUCAAUAAAGUGCUAAGUAAGACCUUUGGGAUGAUCUGUGGUGAUAGUUGAUUUGAUCUUGCUGAAAAACAGAAACUUUUGCGUCCAGUUGCAGAAUUUUGAAAAUUCACUGGAGCGUGAUAAAAUUCUGAAUUUUUACACAAGAUUGGUAUACAAAUUUCCUCUGUUGUCCUAUUUUUUCAGAAUUUUUGGAGUUACAGAAGUAUGGAAAGUUUCCAGAUCACUACUGACUGUUUUGUUUUUGACAGAUUCUGUUUUCUAUGUGUUGUUUGCUUAUUUUGAUGAAUCUAUGAGUAGUAUCGGAGGGUAUGAACCAUGGAGAAGUUGGAAUAUAAUAGAUAUAACACCAAUAUACAUUUAGAAUGAGUUCACAACAGUACCUAAGUGGUGGUUUGCUUUAUCAUACUAACGGAGCUUACGAGUUUUCUGUUGAGUUUUGUGUUGUGAAGUUUUCAAGUUUUGGGUGAAGUUUUGAUGGACUACGGAAUACGGAGUGGCAAGUAACUAAGCUUGGGGAUGCUCAAGGCGCCCCAAGGUAAUAUUAAAGGAAUACCCAAGCAACUAAGCUUGGGGAUGCCCCGGAUGGCAUCCCCUCUUUUGUCUUCAAUCCAUUGAUAAAUUUACAUAAGGAUAUAUUUUUAUUCACCACAUGAUAUGUGUUUUGCUUGGAGCGUCAUUUUCCUUUAUUAGGAUUUGCUUGCUAUUAUUUAGAGUAAUGUUUAGUAUCUUUUAGUUCAAUAAAAAUGUCAAGUAUAGCCUUUACCAUGCUUAUUUUACAAGUCUAUACGUUGCUGUUUUGAAAACAUAAAGUUUUCUAUCAUUGUCUGAAUUCUUCUGGAUAGCCAGAAUAUGAUAAAAUCUUGAAAUUUUUACAAAAUAACAAAUUUUCUACAGUGUGGUAAUUUUUCAUAAAUUUUGGAGUUAGGGAAGUAUGACUCCUCUUGCAUUCUUUACAGACUAUUCUGUUUAGACAUAUUGCUGUUCUAUUUGCAUUUUUUGCAUAUGUUUGCUUGUUUAAUGAUUUUAUUUGAGGAUGGGAGUAUUAAAUAUGCAGAGGCAUUUAGCAUGCAAUAUCAAAUUAUAAUUUUAGUGAUUUUCCAUAGUAGAGAAUGAUAAGGUUUUGCAUGAAUUUAUACUAACCUAUCUCACGAGUUGUUGUGUGCAUGAAGUUUUAAGAUUUCGGGAAACUAUGAUAUGAGAGGAAUUAAGGAGACACAAGAGCUCAAGCUUGGGGAUGCCCAAGGCAUCCCUAGUUAAUAUUUCAAGAAGUCUCAAGCAUCUAAGCUUGGGGAUGCCUCGGUUGGCAUCCCACCUUUGUUCUUCAACAAUGGUCGGUCAGUUUUGGUUGAGCCUAAGUUUUUGCUUCUUCACAUGAUAUGUGUGAUAGGUCUCCAACGUAUCUAUAAAUUUUGAUUGUUCCAUGCUAUUAUAUUAUUUGUUUCGGAUGUUUAAUGGGCUUUAUUAUACACUUUUAUAUUAUUUUUGGGACUAACCUAUUAACCCAAGGCCCAGUGCAAAUUGCUGUUUUUUUGCCUAUUUCAGUGUUUCGCAGAAAAGGAAUAUCAAACGGAAUAAAACCUUCGGGAGCAUGAUUUUUGGAACAAACGUGAUCCAGGGGACUUGGAGUGGACAUCAAGAAAGAAGCGAGGAGACCACGAGGCAGGGAGGCGCGCCCCCACCCUCGUGGGCCCCUCGCAGCUCCACCGACCUACUUCUUCCUCCUAUAUAUACCCAUGUACCCCGAAAACAUCCAGGAGCACCACAAAACCCUAUUUCCACCGCCGCAACCUUAUGUACCCGUGAGAUCCCAUCUUGGGGCCUUUCUCGAAGCUCCGCCGGAGGGGGAAUCAAUCACGGAGGGCUUCUACAUCAACACCAUAGCCUCUCCGAUGAUGUGUGAGUAGUUUACCACAGACCUUCGAGUCCAUAGUUAUUAGCUAGAUGGCUUCUUCUCUCUCUUUGGAUCUCAAUACAACGUUCUCCUCGAUCUUCUUGGAGAUCUAUUCGAUGUAACUCUUUUUGUGGUGUGUUUGUCGAGAUCCGAUGAAUUGUGGGUUUAUGAUCAAGUUUAUCUAUGAACAAUAUUUGAUUCUUCUCUGAAAUCUUUUAUGUAUGAUUUGUUAUCUUUGCAAGUCUCUUCGAAUUAUCAGUUUGGUUUGGCCUACUAGAUUGAUCUUUCUUGCCAUGGGAGAAGUGCUUAGCUUUGGGUUCAAUCUUGCGGUGUCCUUUCCCAGUGACAGCAGGGGCAGCAAGGCACGUAUUGUAUUGUUGCCAUCGAGGAUAAAAAGAUGGGGUUUAUAUCAUAUUGCUUGAGUUUAUCCCUCUACAUCAUGUUAUCUUGCCUAAUGCAUUACUCUGUUCUUAUGAACUUAAUACUCUAGAUGCAUGCUGGAUAGCGGUUGAUGUGUGGAGUAAUAGUAGUAGAUGCAGAAUCGUUUCGGUCUACUUGUCGCGGACGUGAUGCCUAAUAUACAUGAUCAUGCCUAGAUAUUCUCAUAAUUAUGCACUUUUCUAUCAAUUGCUCGACAGUAAUUUGUUCACCCACCGUAAUACUUAUGCUAUCUUGAGAGAAGCCACUAGUGAAACCUAUGGCCCCCGGGUCUAUCUUCUAUCAUAUAAGUUUCCAAUCUAUUUUAUUUUGCAAUCUUUAUUUUCCAAUCUAUAUCAUAAAAAUACCAAAAAUAUUUAUCUUAUUAUCUCUAUCAGAUCUCACUCUCGUAAGUGACCGUGAAGGGAUUGACAACCCCUUUAUCGCGUUGGUUGCGAGGUUCUUAUUUGUUUGUGUAGGUACAAGGCGACUUGUGUGUAACCUCCUACUGGAUUGAUACCUUGGUUCUCAAAAACUGAGGGAAAUACUUACGCUACUUUGCUGCAUCAUCCUUUCCUCUUCAAGGGAAAAACCAACGCAAGCUCAAGAGGUAGCAAGAAGAAUUUCUGGCGCCGUUGCCGGGGAGGCUUACGCUAAGUCAAGUCAAGAUUUGAUCUCCCGUCAACUAGCCAAUCUCUGGCGCAGUUGCCAAGUCAAGUCAAGACAUACCAAGUACCCAUCACAAACUCUUAUCCCUCGCAUUACAUUAUUUGCCAUUUGCCUCUCGUUUUCCUCUCCCCCACUUCACCUUUGCCUUUUCUUCGCCCUUCUUCCGUUCGAUCUUGUGUUACCAUGUGCCUUCUUUUUGCUUGCAUCUUCGCUUUCUAAAAGUUUAUGGAUCCUUAUCCCCUUGCUAAUCUGUUUAAGAGAUCCAAUUAUGAUGAACCAAUUUCUAGUGAUUUGAGUGCACUAGAUUAUCUUUAUGAGGUUUUGCUUGAAAUUCGUGAAUCUGAAAAUUGUGAUGAAGAAAUUUAUGAAGAGAUUCACGAUAGCUCCUUGAAUAAAAAGCAUGAUUGCAAUGAUUUUACUAUAAAUUAUCUUGAUGUCAAUUGUGCUAAUAAUAUGCAAAACCCUAAGCUUGGGGAUGCUAGUUUUGCUAUGUCUACUACUUGUUGUAAUGAUCACGAUUGGGGUGAUUCUUCCUAUGAUCUUGAAAAUUUAUUUAAGCCCCAUGAUGAAUAUGAGAUUGAUAAUAGUGUUUGCAAUAAUAUUGAAAGUGGGUUUGGAAGAGUGUCAACUUUAGAUCCCACAUAUUUGGAGAAUGUUCAAUCUUAUGAAUUUUUUGAUAAAAGUGGGUUUGGUGAGGUCAUAACUUUAGUUAAUGUUAAUCCCACUAUUUUGGAAGAGUGUCAACUUCGCAUGCAUGUGGAUCGUGUUGAAAAUAUUUCAUGUGAUAGCUAUUUUGUUGAAUUUUCUUAUGAUCCCACAUGUAAUUAUUAUGAGAGAGGAAAAUAUGGUUGUAGAAGUUUUCAUGAUAAUAAAUUACCUCUCGUUAUGUUGAGAUUGCUAUUGUUUCUUUCCGCUUCCUUGCAUAUGCUAGUUUUUGCUUGUUUUGAUAAUUUUUUUGCCUAUAAGAUGCCUAUGCAUAGGAAGUAAUUUAGAAUUAGAUGUGUUUGUCAUGUGUUUCAUGAUGCUCUCUUUGCGCUUCAAUUCUUGUCUUUCAUGUGAGCAUCGUUAGAAUUAUCAAUGCCUAGCUAGAGGCGUUAAACGAUAGCGCUUGUUGGGAGGCAACCCAAUUUUAUUUUUGUUUCUGUUUAGUAAUAAAUAAAUCAUCAUGCUACUGCUAUUAUUGUGUUUUUUGUGUUUUAAUUAGUGUUUGUGCCAAGUAAAGCCUUUAGGAUCUUCUUGGAUGAUAGUUGUUUGAUCUUGCUGUAGAAAACAGAAACUUUGCGCUCACGAGAAUAAUUUUCAUAAAUCACAGAAAAGAGAUUUUACCCUGAUUCUUUUUGAAGUAGAUUAAUAUACAAAUUACCCAGGUCUUCCUAAUUUGGUUGAAAUUUUGGAGUUCCAGAAGUUUACGUUUGAUAUAGAUUACUACAGACUGUUCUGUUUUUGACAGAUUCUGUUUUUCGUGUGUUGUUUGCUUAUUUUGAUGAAUCUAUGGCUAGUAUCGGAUGGUAUGAACCACAGAGAAGUUGGAAUACAGUAGGUUUAACACCAAUAUAAAUAAAUAAUGAGUUCAUUACAGUACCUUGAAGUGGUGGUUUGUUUUCUUUCGCUAACGGAGCUCAUGAGAUUUUCUGUUGAGUUUUGUGUUGUGAAGUUUUCAAGUUUUGGGUAAAGAUUUGAUGGAUUACGGAAUAAGGAGUGGCAAGAGCCUAAGCUUGGGGAUGCCCAAGGCACCCCAAGGUAAAUUCAAGGACACCCGAAAGCCUAAGCUGCAUCAAAGUAGGUUGUUUAGAUGUGCAACUAGCUGAGCUACCUAUAUGAUGCAACAACAACAAGCACACAAGCAAGCAAGAGAGAUAACACAAAUAAGCUUGCACAAGUAAAGGCACGAGAUAACCAAGAGUGGAGCCGGUGAAGACGAGGAUGUGUUACCGAAGUUCCUUCCUUUUGAGGGGAAGUACGUCUCCGUUGGAGCGGUGUGGAGGCACAAUGCUCCCCAAGAUGCCACUAGGGCCACCGUAUUCUCCUCACGCCCUCACACAAUGCGAGAUGCCGUGUUUCCACUAUUGGUGCCCUUGGAGGCGGCGACCGGACCUUCACAAACAAGGUUGGGGCAAUCUCCACAACUUAAUUGGAGGCUCCCAACAACACCACGAAGCUUCACCACAAUGGAAUAUGGCUCCGCGGUGACCUCAACCGUCUAGGGUGCUCAAACACCCAAGAGUAACAAGAUCCGCAAGGGAUUAGUGGGGGGAAUCAAAUUUCUCUUGGUGGAAGUGUAGAUCGGGGCCUUCUCAACCAAUCCCUAGAAAAUCAACAAGUUUGAUUGGCUAGGGAGAGAGAUCGGGCAAAAAUGGAGCUUGGAGCAACAAUGGAGCUUGGGGAUGGAAGAGGUAGUCAACUCGGGGAAGAAGACACCCCUUAUAUAGUGAAGGGACAAAUCCAACCGUUAUCCACUUAACCAGCCCGCGACCUAGGGUACUACCGCACCAAACAAGCGGUACUACCGCAAGGGCUCACGGUACUACCGCGGCGAACCGCGGUACUACCGCUGCCAUGGCCACGACAGGAGCUAACCCAGGCCUGUAGCAAAGAAGCUGAGGGCGGUACUACCGCUGGCAAGGUACUACCGCUCCCCCUUGCGGUACUACCGCAAGGCAGGAUUGGACUAGCCUGGGAAGGGCGCGGACAAAUAAAAAUACAUUCGUGGCAACUUCCACUGAGUUUCAAACAAUGCAAAAAUCUGACACGGUACUACCGCGCAAGGAGCGGAUGUAAAAAAAUUACAUCCGCCCCUACUUCCGCUCAAGUUGCUGUGCCAGGCCAGGACUCAUGGUACUACCGCGCGCGUGGGGCAGUACUACCGCGUAGGGCGCGGAUGUAAAAAAUUACAUCCGCCCCUACAGCCGCACGAGCAGCUGAGCCUGGCCAGAGGCCACGGUACUACAUCUCCCAAGGAGCGGUACUACCGUGAGCACCUGCGGUACUACCGCUCAGAAGAGCAGUACUACCGCAUGCCCCAGAACAGCAACACUAUGAAUCCUUCUUUUUGCAUAUACACGAAACGGAGGAUGCUCCAAAGUGCUAAGGGAAAGGCGGCGCAAAAGGAGUAAACGUGUAUGUGAUGAUUCCAGCCAAACCUUUCCAAAGCGGACCCCUCUUAAUAGUACGGCUUUCCUACGACUGAAAUCCACAAAAAAGAAACAUGGAAAAACGCCGUCUUCAAUAGUCUUCGAGGGGCACGAAACCGUCUUGUGCCUAGUGAUGAAAUGUGUGAAAUACUCAAGGCACACGAUUAGUCCGCAAAAGCAUUGUCAUCAAACACCAAAACAACUAAGGGAUAAAUAUGCCCUUACAAUCUCCCCCUUUUUGGUGGAUUGAUGACAAUACGGGAUUUGCACAACAAGGAGAUAAAAUGAACAUGGGCAAACCCCACAUCUAUAAAAUAUCGACGGGCUCCCCCUAGAUGUGUGCUAUCUAGAUGAGUGCUUUGGACUGCAUGGCACACAUACUAGGAUCAACACUCCCCCUGUAUUUUAUAGACAAGGCAUAUCUUGCAACAACAAGGCUAACACUAAGCAAGAUUAGUAAAUAUGAGCAUAAUAGAAACAUCACAAGAUAGCAUAAGCUCAAAAAGGUGAGAUAGAGUGCAUAUGUUUUACACCAUAUGAUAGAUAAGUCUCACAAGCGCAAACCAAACCAAAGCAACCGAGGUUCGACGGAACAAAAGCAAAUGACACACAACGAAACAAACAC
rnacentral:lncRNA from 1 species